rnacentral:lncRNA from 1 species
UUUUUGUUUUGUUUUCUGUUUUUAUCCUUUUCUUAUUUUCUUUUGUGUUUUAUUUAUUUUAGUUAGCAAAACAGCUUUACCAAAAUAUAACCCCUACUCCUAAAUUAGCAUAAUGACAUAGGCCACCUACUCCAAAAAGUUUGGUUAUUAUAAAAAGUAGAUUAACAUUUGCUUAGCAUUUAAAAGUAUUUAAAAUAAUUGUUUUGCUGUUGUUUUACUUACUAUAGUGCAUUUAAAUACUUUACAAAAGUGUUGUUUCUUCACCAAUAUUUAAUAUGGAUUAUUUGGCUCACUCCAAACAUUUUAGUUUUAAUAUUUAAAAACUUUUAUUGUUUGCUUGAUUUUGAAUUUGAAUUCGAACCAUUCUCGGACUAACGCGAGAUUAGCAACAGUAAUCGAGGUGACGUGGCAUCAUUAGCAGAGUUUCACUAUAGCCUAAUUAUCCGGGUGUCACAAUUCUCCUCCACUACAAGAAAUCUCAUCCCGAGAUUUAAGAGGGGAGCAAGGGGGGAAGUUCUGGUUACGAUAUGCUAACGGAUCUUCUCGAAGAAGUUAAUCCCUUUCGUUGAUGUCUUCAAUUCUUUAUUCCAAUGUAUCAUGAUGAAGUUGUCGUCCUUUCUUUGGGGAACUCCAACGUACUUACGCAUAGGUAAGGGGCAGCCCCACAACGAUAGGAUGUUAUAAGGGAGAAUCAUCUGGGGGUAUUCCAAGUGUGAUCAUAUGAGUAUCUAUCGAGUUGAACAAAUGAAACACAUCGAGAGCAAAGUAAGACGGGGCAAUAAGAAGCUUCAAUUGGAUAGGCAAUCGUUUGUUGCCUGAUGCAAAAUGUGACAGGGGUUCAGAGCAAUGGGAAAGUAUUGCGUCUGGUACCAGAAUAGAUCACUAGGCAGGUGGCCCGUGAAUCACAUACGAAGUCAAGCACGAGGAAUAACUUCGACAACAGGGUGUAUAGGAGAGUCAGGUUUUGAUCCUGUGGACCUGUGGGUUAUGGGCCCACCAUGUGGGUUGAAAGUAGGAAGGGUGGUGACAACUUGCACAGCUGCGACAGGGAGGCAUGUCAGUGAAUAGCUUGCCAGCUAUGCCGGCAACAAUGUUGGUACCAAGGACGGGGAACGAAGAGAGCAAUUUUCCUACUCGUUGAACGAGGCGGACCAAUAGGCAAAGUUCUCGUCCAUCGGUGGUUACCGGAAUGCUAUCAAAAGAAACAGGGCCUUACUGACACGGUUGUACACCAAGGUGUUUUACAUAAGCAAAAGAAUACUACUGCUUAUAUAAUAUAGAUCACAAGAAGGGUUAUGCAAACCAAUGGAAAGGAAAGGUGAUUACCAGGUUUAAUCAGAACAAUGGGGAGGAAAAUGUGUAUACACACAUAUUUCAGGGGUAUAUCCUUCCCAAGGACAAGCGGGGCAUGAUAUCCAUGACAGGAUAGAGAGUAGAGAACCAUUGAGGUAAAGGGAGAGGAAUUUCAUGACGUUACCCGUACAACGGUGUUUGGAUAAUUGAUAAAGAGAAUUUAGCAUUGUGCUUCAAAUGUUCUUGUUGAUGAACGGAGUACCACAGACAUGCUUCGAGAUAGCAUUGACAUGGUCUUCAAGCAAAGGUCAGACUUUGGAUACACAAAGGAUCCAUCAGGAUAAACUUAUUAAACAAGGCAUUCAAUUUCCUCAUGGAAAAAUGGUUAACCUUGCUAAAAGGAAACUAUAACAAUAAGUCCUCCGGCUAGGCGUGCUAAGCAUGACAUCACCUUACCGGGUCAUAUAAGGACCAACGUUAUUACUCUUGGAAAUAUGUUUCAGCCAUCAUAUCUGACCGAGAUUCAGAUAUGACUGGUGUCAGGAUACCUCAAACUCAUGAUGUCUGAGAAGGAAGGGAUGCAACACAAUUUGACGAGAAGGCAUUGCAAGAUUCUCAGUAAAUGAACUAUGGAAGCAAGUUUCGAAUCAUGAGUUCAUCAUUAAACAAGGAGAAGAUGAGGAUGUGGCUGAGGGACUCAGCGACAGAUUAUCGAGAAUUCCAACAAGAUGGAUUUCCACAAUUAUGUAAACCAGGAGAUAACAUUUGUCAUAUCAAAUGAUAUAAUGAUGUAUACUCGAGGAAAACAUACACAAUUAAACAUUGGUUGAAAGGUGCGCCCAAAAAUGGGUUGGGUUGCACGACCAAUGUCAGAAUGGCGAUUCAAUAAUCAAUAGUCUAAGAAUGAACGACCGACCAUUAACUUCAAAGCAAUAGGGUUGCUAGAAGUGCAGAAUCCAAACAGCACUGUUCACUUGUUGGUACCCCGAUUGGAAUCAACACGAGGACCAAGAAAGAAUGGUGAUGGUGAGAAGUAUCACUAUACCAAGAAUUCUUAAGAGGUGCUGAAAUUCCCAUGACAUUCUUGACAUAAAAGGUGGUAAUACUCCAAGGUAAAGGAGAAGAAAUACUGGAUAGCAAGGAUCUCAAGGUACAACACAAAACAUGAACAAGUUUGUGUUGAAGGUAAAGCAAGAAAGUUGACGAUGAUAACACAAAUCAUCGAGGGGCAAGGAUGGUAUUUCUCAUCAUGAAUACAAUUGAUAUCUUGGAGGAACUCAGAAUGUUGAUGAUGAUCAUAACAAAUUUUGUCGAGAGGUUUCAUGCAGAUGUAAUCGGCCAUCGACGACAUCAAGCAAAAGGAAGGGUGGAACGAAAAGUUAUUGAAACCACAGAUACGACACAAACUCGGAAUCAAGCUUGUUGCUUGAGGUGAAACGGUAAGACAAGGAAGAUCGACGUAAGCUUAGCUCAUCAUCGAAAGUUGUGCUUCAGAAAGAAGGACCAGAUAGCACAGUUAAAAAGUUGCACGAUAAUGAUAUAGCCGAUAAGGCUAGGAAUGACUUGAAGGAUUAAAAUCAUAAGCAACAAAAAUUACUUAAGAGUUACCGUACCAGAACGGGAAUUGGUUCACAUAUCGGUGUUCUUGAGCGACUAACAACUCAGAACCCAUGAAAAAUUGGAAUCGGUGAGAAAUAAUAGCUGAUGAGAAACUCAUAGAUGCAACACAGUUCUUAGAUAUUCUCGAGAUACCAUAGGGUAAUACUCGACAGUAAAUCAAAGUAGAGGUUGGACUGGUGUAUUGACUAGCAAAAGAAAAGUGCUUUAACUUGUCCUAGAAAUGGGGUCAAAGAAGAACAAUCAAGGUCGGAACCACGGUUGCAAAGGAUCAAUUCACCGAUACCAAGGGAUAUUAUAUCAAAGAAAUAGUUAUUAUUACAAGAAGCUUCCAUGAUAGGAUCUACAUCGGGUCCAUGGGCAUGAACACAGAGGUUCAAGGUCGACUCCCACUUCUCCAAAGCACAACCUUACAUUCACUUCUCGUUUUGAUAAAGGCAUUAGUGUUGAAAGUUUUACCUGGUGAAAUACCAGAUGAGUAUGACUCAUGAAAACUUCCGAGUUCACACAUAUUAAGGAAGGCAUAGGUUCAACCCAUAAGGGAAUCUUAGGAACAUAUACCACAAACUACAGGAGCAAAUAACUCCAGCUCGGAAGAAGAGCAUGGUUGGCCAAAUCGGAGAAUAUGAUUUACGAAUGGCAUUACGUAUCAUAGAAAGAACUUCUUGAGGUUUUGUAUAUGAAGGACACUGUCGGAUGAUAAUUCAACAAAGGAUCUGACGGUCCAUAAUAGGGCUGAUGUGAGCAUCGGCACACAACAGAGGAAGAAAACAGUGCAAGGACAUUGGAUUAUAGAAACAACUGACUAAUUCAAACUUAAUGCAAAGAAUUUUAUGAUUUCCAAAUUAAGGGAUCAGAAGCAAUCGUUCUUAUCAAAAAUGAAUAAGGUCGAUAGACUUAGAAGCACAACCGAUCAAGGCAUUGAUUGGUCUAGAACCAGCUCAUGUUUAAAAUGACAUCUGAGCCGGAAGAAUGUCUAUGAUUUGAUUAAGGAUUGCGAGCAUACGCAAAAUAAUAAAUCAAGGGGAUCAAAAUGAUAGUAACAAAGGAUGUCAAUGGAGAUUGCUAGAAAUAUGGAAUUAACCAUAGUACCGAAAGGCAAGGAAUUCAAGAGAAAUAGGCUCCUAAGGAUUUUUAGAAAACCGAAUAGUAUCCUAAAGAAUUUUGUGAAACACAAAAACAACUAGGAAUGAAGAUAUUCUCGAUAAGUGUGAGAAUUUAUGUGUCGGUGUAAUCAUGCGGAAAAGAGCUGCAAGGCAGUAAGCACGAAGGAUUCUCGGAAUAGUGGGAAGUAGUUCAGGGUAUCUUGUAGUAACAAGAGUAAUCGAGAAUGAAGGUAAGGGUGGCAAGUAUAAGUAGUUAUCCAUAGGGAUGUCUUGGUCGUAGGGUUGCAAACCCGAUGAGGACAAGUUCUCGAAAGAACAUCACAGAGUAUCUUCAGAAUCUUCUGGUGCAGCAGGCGAUCAUCUGGAGUGAGGGGCUCUCCGGGAGAACUAUUUUCGAGAACCUAAAGUUAGUCUUUUUUUAGCAAAAUCAUUUUACCCGAAUAGAGGAGAGAUUAAAGUCCCAGAGUAUAGGUCGAGGAAUAAAAGAUCCUAAUACCACCCAAAUGGCGACGUGGGCCCAUGGGCCGCACAGCCAUGUUAGUAAAACAGUUUUGUAAUAUCUAGACUCGACUUCGGCCAAAGAGUGUGGAAGGGGGAUUCCUACAGGCAGUCGGCUCUGAUACCAACUUGUGACGCCCCCAAUUUAAUCGUACACUAAUCAUGCACGCAAACGUGUACGAUCAAGAUCAGGGACUCACGGGAAGAUAUCACAACACAACUCUAAAACAUAAAUAAGUCAUACAAGCAUCAUAUUACAAGCCAGGGGCCUUGAGGGCUCGAAUACAAGUGCUCGAUCAUAGACGAGUCAGCAGAAGCAACAAUAUCUGAGUACAGACAUAAGUUAAACAAGUUUGCCUUAAGAAGGCUAGCACAAACUGGAAUGCAGAUCGAAAGAGGCGCAGGCCUCCUGCCUGGGAUCCUCCUAACUACUCUUGGUCGUCGUCAGCGGGCUGCACGUAGUAGUAGGCACCUCCAGUGUAGUCGUCGUCGUCGACGGUGGCGUCUGGCUCCUGGGCUCCAACGUCUGGUUGCGGCAUCCGAGAAGAAGAGGAAAACAGGGGAAAAGAGGGAGCAAAGCAACCUUGAGUACUCAUCCAAAGUACUCGCAAGCAAGGAGCUACACUACAUAUGCAUGGGUAUAUGUGUAAGGAGGCAAUAUGAGGGGACUGAACUGCAGAAUGCCAGAAUAAGAGGGGGAUAGCUAGUCCUAUCAAGGACUACGCUUCUGGGAGCCUCCGUCUUGCAGCAUGUAGAAGAGAGUAGACUGAAGUCCUCCAAGUAGCAUCGCAUAGCAUAAUCCUACCCGGCGAUCCUCCCCUCGUCGCCCUGUGGAAAAGCAAUCACCGGGUUGUCUGUGGAACUUAUCAGGGUGUGUUUUAUUAAGUAUCCGGUUCUAGUUGUCAUAAGGUCAAGGUACAACUCUAGGUCAUCCUUUUACCGAGGGACACGGCUAUUCGAAUAGAUAAACUUCCCUACAGGGGUGCACCACAUAACCCAACACGCUCAAUACCAUUUGGCCGGACACACUUUCCUGGGUCAUGCCCGGCCUCGGAAGAUCAACACGUCGCAGCCCCACCUAGGCACAACAGAGAGUUCAACACGCCGGUCUAAAUCCUAUGCGCGCAGGGGUCUGGGCCCAUCGCCCAUUACACACCUGCACAUUGUGAGGGCUGCCGGAAGCAGACCUAGCCUCUCUUAUACAAGAGUAGGCGUUCCAGUCCAAUCCGGCGCGCGCCGCUCCGUCGCUGACGUCAAGAAGUCUUCGGCUGAUACCACGACGUCGAGUGCCCAUAACUGUUCCCACGUAGUUGGUUAGUGCGUAUAGGCCAGUGGCCAGACUCAGAUCAAAUACCAAGAUCUCGUUAAGCGUGUUAUUAUGAAGUAACCACGAACGCUGACCAGGGCCAGGCCCACCUCUCUCCUAGGUGGUCUCAACCUGCCCUGUCGCUCUGCCACAAAGUAACAGUCGGGGGCCGUCGGGAACCCAGGCCCACCUCUACCGGGAUGGAGCCACCUGUCCUUUCAGCCCCCUUAUCCGAAUCACUUGCGGGUACUCAACGAGCUGACCCGACUUUAGUCACCAUCUGUAUAGUAUGUAUAUAUGUAUAGUAUAUACCCGUGAUCACCUCCCAAGUGAUCACGGCCCGAUAAUACAGCAAGGCAGACCGACAAGAAUGUAGGGCCACAAAUGAUAAACUAGCAUCCUAUACUGAGUAUUUGGGAUUGCAGGUAAGGUAUCAAUAGAUAUAGCAACAAUGUCAGGCUAUGCAACAGAAUAGGAGUAACCGAAUAGUAACAUGCUACACUACUCUAAUGCAAGCAGUAUAGAGAAGAAUAGGUGAUAUCUGCUGAUCAAGGAGGGGGGGGGGCUUGCCUGGUUGCUCUGGCAAGGAGGGGUCGUCAACACCGUAGUCGAACUGGGGGGUCGCCGGCAGUCUCGGGGUCUAUCGGAAAGAAGUAACGGAGAGGAAAUACAAUAAAUAACAGAGCAAUCAAAGCAUCGCAAAGCAUAACAAGACAAUACACGGUGUUCGAUGUGCCCUAACGCGAUAGUAGGUGAUACCGGUCAAGGGGGGAAACAUCCGGGAAAGUAUCCCCGGUGUUUCGCGUUUUCGGACAGAUGAACCAGAGGGGAAAAGUUGCGUGUUUGCUACGCUAGGGAUGUGUGGCGGACGAAUGGCCUGCGUAUCCGGAUUCGUCUCGUCGUUCUGAGCAACUUUCAUGUACAAAGUUUUUCCAUCCGAGCUACGGUUUAUUUUAUAUUAAUUUUUAGAAGAUUUAAUCAUUUUUAGAAUUAACAGAAUUAACUAAAUAAGAAAAUGUAAUUAUGACGUCAGCAUGAUGUCAGGGUGAUGUCAGUGGUCAGCUUUGACCGUUGACUAGUCAAACUGGCGGGGGGUCCCACAUGUAAUAGUCUGUUUAGUUAGCAGGCUAGUUAACAGAGUUAAUUAGUUUACCUAAUGAUUAGGUUAGUCUAAACAGAAUUAAUUAAGUUAAUUUAAUUGGUUAAUUAAUUAAUUAAUAUUUUAUUUAUUUAUUUAUGCUUGAAGAUAUCUUUUUUUUUAAUUCAAACAGGGGGCAAGGCCCAUUGUUAGUGACUACCUAGGAGGGGGUUAGUGCUAAUCUAACCCCCAAUUAGCAGGGGCCUGCCUAAUCUGGUAGAGGCGCAACCGGCAGGGACUACGCCCGCGCACAGACGGGGGCGCCGGCGCGGCAGGCCGGACGGGAACGGCGGCGAGCGGCACGGCCCGGGAGCAUGAGGGACAGGCGCGGGCUGCGCAACCGGAGGGGCGGGCACGAGCGGGAAGACACGGUGCGGUAAGAGGCACGCCGCGCACGAGAGCAGAGCUCUGGCGGUGGCGACGACGCAGGAUAGGACGCGGUCCGGGCGGCCGGCGCGGGUGCGGGUGGUGGUGAGCGAGGCCAUGGCCGAAGUGGCUGAAGCAGGGGAGGAGGAGGAGUUGCCGGGGCCUCACCACGGGGCCGUGGGGUAUAGCCAGCGGUGCUCGGGGAGGAAGACGGGGACGACGUUCCGGCGAGGAGAGGGACGAGGAGGCGAGGAGGCAGUCCGGCGGUGGACGACGUCGGGCGGCGGUUCGGUGACGGAGCGGUCGAAGACAAUGGCGUCAGGCGAGGUGAUCCCAGGCGACGGCGAGCGCUGGGUGUCGGGGCGCGGUCGCGGGCGCGUCGGGUGCUGGACGGCGCGGGCGUGCGGUGAUGGGUGGGUGGUCCGGCGACGGGGUGUGGGCAGGGCGUCGCGAGAGAGAGGGGGGCGGUUUCAUCCCCGAUCCAGAUCGGAUCGAGGAAGGGAGGAGAGCGAAGUGGGGGGCGAGUGGGGGAGAUAUUUUCGGGGGAGUGCGGGGGUGUCGGUGGGGUUUUCCCCGAGUGGGGGGAUAUGGAGGAGGGCGUGGGGCGCCGGCUGGGCCGGCCUGAUUUGCCCCGAGGCCAUCUGGGCCGUGGCCCAGCGGGGUUCUCUUUUAUCCUUUUUUUAUUUGUUUUACAUUUUUGUUUUGUUUUGUGUUUUUAUCCUUUUCUUAUUUUCUUUUCUGUUUUCUUUAUUUUAGUUAGCAAAACAGCUUUACCAAAAUAUAACCCCUACUCCUAAAUUAGCAUAAUGACAUAGGCCACCUACUCCAAAAAGUUUGGUUAUUAUAAAAGUUUAACAUUUGCUUAGCAUUUAAAAGUAUUUAAAAUAAUUGUUUUGCUGCUGUUUUACUUACUAUAGUGCAUUUAAAUACUUUACAAAAGUGUGGUUUCUUCACCAAUAUUUAAUAUGGAUUAUUUGGCUCACUCCAAACAUUUUAGUUUUAAUAUUUAAAAACUUUUAUUGUUUGCUUGAUUUUGAAUUUGAAUUCGAACCGUUCUCGGACUAACGCGAGAUUAGCAACAGUAAUCGAGGUGAUGUGGCAUCAUUAGUAGAGUUUCACUGUAGCCUAAUUAUCCGGGCGUCACAGAACUUUCCGAAACCAUUCCUGUGUCCGAACAUAGUCAUCCAAUAUAUCGAUCUUUACGUAUCGACCAUUUCGAGACUCCUCGUUAUGUCCGUGAUCAUAUCCCGGACUCUGAACUAUCUUCGGUACAUCAAAACACAAAUACUCAUAAUACCAAUCGUCACCAAACUUUAAGCGUGUGGACCCUACGGGUUCGAGAACUAUGUAGACAUGACCGAGACUCGUUUCCGGUCAAUAACCAAUAGCGGAACCUGGAUGCUCAUAUUGGUUCUCACAUAUUCUACGAAGAUCUUUAUCGGUCAAACCGCAUAACUACAUACAUUGUUCCCUUUGUCAUCGGUAUGUUACUUGCCCGAGAUUCGAUCGUAGGUAUCUCAAUAGCUAGUUCAAUCUCGUUACCGGCAAGUCUCUUUACUCGUUAUGUAAUGCAUCACCCCGUAACUAACUCAUUAGUCACAUUGCUUGCAAGGCUUAUAGUGAUGUGCAUUACCGAGAGGGCCCACAGAUACCUCCCCGACAAUUGGAGUGAAAAAUCCUAAUCUCGAAAUACGCCAACUCAACAAAUACCUUCGGAGACACUUGUAGAGCUCCUUUAUAAUCACCCAGUUACGUUGUGAUGUUUGGUAGCACACAAAGUGUUCCUCCAGUAAACGGGAGUUGCAUAAUCUCAUAGUCAUAGGAACAUGUAUAAGUCAUGAAGAAAGCAAUAGCAACAUACUAAACCAUCAAGUGCUAAGCUAACAUAAUGGGUUAAGUCAAUCACAUCAUUCUCCUAAUGAUGUGAUCCCGUUAAUCAAAUGACAACUCAUGUUAUGGCUAGGAAACUCAACCAUCUUUGAUCAACGAGUUAGUCAAGUAGAGGCAUACUAGUGACACUAUGUUUGUCUAUGUAUUCACACAUGUAUUAUGUUUCCGGUUAAUACAAUUCUAGCAUGAAUAAUAAACAUUUAUCAUGAUAUGAGGAAAUAAAUAAUAACUUUAUUAUUGCCUCUAGGGCAUAUUUCCUUCACUCCUUGUGCGCGGGAAGCUUGAAGUAGACAAAGAAGUCUUCCGGGUCAUGGCUCGUCACGCGCAGCAGGUGGGGCGGGGAGCAGAGCUGCUCCUCGAUGGACCGGCCCACCGACAUGGGGUUGGCCGCAUGGCGGGCCGUCGAGGCCGUGACCAGCACGGCGUGCUUGCGAAAGAGGAACUCCUGCUGCUCGAUGGCCGGCGUGCUGAUCACCAUCUUGAAGCUCGACCUGGAGUGGCGCGACGCGUCUGUGUGGAGCGCCUGACGGUCCAUGGCAGUCAUGGCAGGUGGCGACGGCGGGGGCGGCGGAGUCUACGAAGGAAAAUGCAGCCGACCGUGAAAAGGGUCGCGCUGCGGAUGACGGAUCGGGCAGCCGGCGCGCCCCUUGCACUUGGGGUAGCGGGCACUCACGACCGUAGUGCCCCGACUGCUUGUAGAUUAUGCAGUGCAGCGGGUCGCGGCAAUCUAUCCUACGGUGGCUGGAGUUGAGGCACCGAAAAUAGAGCAUGUUGAAGCGGCUUAAGAAGGCCUCCUUCCCCCCACGGCCAUUAAUGGCGGAGCGCCGGCCAAAUCGCUUGGCGGAGGGGCGCCCAGCGCCAUUCGCCGCCUUAAUGGUUGUGCGCCGGUCUUUCCGCGACUUGACCGUCAUCCACCUAUCUCCAUCGCCCGAAGAGGGAAAGCGCGGGGCAGGGGACGACAUUACCACAAUGGAUUUCAGCUUGUUCUUCCCUAAACGAGGGGGCUCGGCUGGGACCGCAGAGGAAAACGCAGGAGCCGCCUUGGAGCACUCCCCCCGCAACAGAAAUCGCGCCGGGAGCGCGGGACUGACCGUAGCCGACGGCUGAGGCGGCUGGGAGUCCGGGACCUGCGACGGACCGGUGGAUCUGGCCAGAUCCGGCGCGGAAGCGGGGGUGCCCAGCCAGAGGCCCCGCUGGCAGUCGAGCGCGCCGAGCGAUCCGAGCGGGCGAGGGAGGGCGCGAACGCAUGGCCGCAGAGAGGUGGCGCCCCUGCCCGGGCGGGCAGGAACGGGGCUUGGUGGCCGCCGCGGCCGGAGUGGCCAGGGGCGCGAGGAGGAGAGGUCCGGUCACAAGAGCUCCGCCCUACCCCAAGGACAGAAGUAAAGUCCGUCGGUCUUUAGCUGACAUGUCAUUAAUAGAUUAUGUGGUUAACUCAUAUAAUCUUUUUUCCGAUUGAUUGUGGGUUUUUCUCUUCUUUCUUUUGUGUCUUACAUUUAGUUGGCACCCUGAACUAGUCGACUUACUUUUUUUUUCACUAAAUAGUACUCCCAUUUAGUUGGUUGUGUGUAUCAUAAUGAUGUAGAGGCCGACUUCUCCCAUUUUCAAAAACACACACACACAUAGAGGCUAAAUUCCUAACGCACACAGGGAGUUUAGUUGAUAUAUUAAUCAGCUAUUAACAUCUUGUUCUUAAUCUAAUCAUACAAGUUAUGGUUGCCCCGUUCCGUGUUAAAACUUUCAAAAAUGAUGGUUCAUGAGAGUUAGGAAGCAUAUGAGGCGUGCUUCCCAAGAUAUGCCGCUUCUCAUUUUCUGAGCAUUGAAUCAUUGCCAAUUCGGACGGAUGAAAAUUGACAAAAUUAUAUCUCUCGGGUCUAUGACAUGUACACCGGUUGCCUCACAUUUUUAUUUUGUUUUUAGUUGCAUUGUCAUUUUCAUUCUUUCUUUUGCGGAGAACAUUCGCAAUUUAAUUACAGUGACUUAUGAGUGAGCUUGCCGGUAUCCCUACUACUGGUUUGCAUAGGGAUGAACUUAUAAUAUGCCAUUUCCUCCUGCAAAAAUAAAAAAAGAAGACAUUGUGGGGCCAGUCCCGUGGAUUCAUAACUGACAUCGAGGUAGCCUAAUCUCACGGACACAAACACGACACGAGGGCGAGGCCCUCCCGCCGUUCCUGCUACCUACCCAGUGGAUCUUUACUCCUCGUUCAUAGGCAUAGAUAGCCGAGGGCCGACGCAACCAUCGACGCGGAAGCAGAGGACGCGCCCACCCCAGAGCCGCAGACCCCCAAACCGAACCCGGCCGAGGGAGGGAGGAGGGGGCGAUGGGGUCCGUCGCCGACGACGCGGAGGAGGUGAGCACCGUGGGGGAGGCCUCGCGGAUGGUGUGGGACGAGUCGAAGCGCCUCUGGGGCAUCGGCACGCCCAUCGCCAUCGCCACGCUCAGCAUGUACGCCGUCAGCUCCGUCACCACCAUCUUCGUUGGCCACCUCGGCAACCUGCCCCUCGCCGCCGCGUCCAUCGGCCUCUCCGUCUUCGGCACCUUCGCCCUCGGAUUCCUGGUACGUGCGCUAACGCCAGCAUCCAUCUCCUCUUCUCUCCAGCACGGCGGCACCGCACUGCAUAGUGCAUACCAUUGCUGUCUGCUGAUAGUAAUAUCUAAUAUGUUGCAGCUCGGCAUGGGGAGCGCGCUGGAGACGCUGUGCGGGCAGGCGUUCGGCGCCGGCCAGGUGGCCAUGCUCGGCGUCUACCUGCAGCGCUCCUGGAUCGUCCUCAUCGGCGCCGCGCUCCUCAUGGUGCCCUUCUACGUCUUCGCCGAGCCGCUGCUGCUCGCCCUCGGCCAGGACCCCGAAGUCGCGCGCGAGGCCGCCCGCUUCGCGCUCUACAUCCUGCCCGGUGCCUUCUCCUUCGCCGUCAACUUCCCCACCGCCAAGUUCCUCCAGGCGCAGAGCAAGGUCCUCGUGCUCGCCUGGAUCGGCAUCGGCGGCCUCUGCUUCCACGUCGUGGUCACCUACCUCCUCGUCACCGUCCUCGGAUGGGGCUACCCAGGCGCCGCCGUCGCCUACGACCUGUCGCUCUGGGCCAUCGCGCUGGGCCAGUCGGCUUACAUCAUCGGCUGGUGCAAGGACGGCUGGAGGGGCUGGUCCAUGGCGGCAUUCAACGAUAUGUGGGCCUUCGUCAAGCUCUCGCUCGAGUCCGCCGUCAUGCUCUGCCUUGAGAUUUGGUACCUCGGCAUGAUCACCGUCCUCACCGGCGACCUCCAGGAUGCGCAGAUUGCCGUCGACUCGCUUGGCGUCUGGUACUUCUUACUACCAAAAUUACAACCUGAUAACAUUCUCAACUCUCUUUCGAAUAUUCUGAACCAACUGAAGAUACUAUAGUACUUAGCUCACAGAAUAUUUGUGCCUUAAUUUUCAGCAUGAAUAUAAACGGAUGGGAGGGUAUGAUCUUCAUUGGCCUCAAUGCUGCUAUCAGGUCAGGCUAAUUCAAAUUUCAAAACUGUAGAAUUAAACCGGUGAUUCUUGUUUUCUUCAGGAAAUCUUGAACGACUGAACUGAACUUAUCAAAUUUCACUUUCUAAACUAUUACCACACGUUCUCAGUGUUCGAGUCUCCAAUGAGCUGGGCUCUGGCCGUCCAAGGGCGGCGAUGCACGCCGUCAUCGUUGUCAUCGGCGAGUCGUUGCUCAUUGGGCUGGUAUGCAUGGCCCUCGUGUUGAUCUUCAGAGAUAACUUCGCAAGCAUAUACACUAGCGACGUGGAGCUCCGGCAGGCCGUCUCCAAGAUUGCAGGACUGCUUGGCUUGACCAUGGUGCUCAACAGCGUGCAACCUGUGCUUUCAGGUAUGCUUCUCCCACUCGCAGCAUGAUAAUUUUAUUUUGUUCAUGCCACCUCAACCUCAUCUCUCGAGCUGACGACGUUGAUCGGAUGCAUGAUUCAGGGGUGGCCAUUGGAGGAGGAUGGCAAGGCCUUGUUGCAUACAUCAACCUUGGCUGCUACUACAUUUUCGGAUUGCCAUUGGGAUAUCUCCUCGGCUACAAGUUCAAUUAUGGAGUUGGGGUAAUUGAUUAUGUUGUUUAAAUUGGAGCACUGCAAAUUGCAAAAUAGAAAAUGAAGUAUAUUUAUGCUAUGAUUCUGCGACAUCGGUUGUGAAUUUGAGACAUUGGUUCUAAUUUCAGGGGAUUUGGGCUGGCAUGCUUUGCGGGGUUGCACUUCAGACAUUGAUUUUACUCGUCAUAGUGUGGAGAACAGAUUGGAACGCAGAGGUAUGAAAUUCCUUCGCCCUUCCAAAUUCCACCAUGUUUUUCAUUUUGUGAUGAACACAACUUUUAAAAAGUCAACUGGAGGAUGCUAGUUCGUCUUUAUAAUAACUAAGUAUUCAUAGGCACCAAUUUAAUAACUCAAUGUUAGUUCAUCCUUAUAAUAGCUAGAUGUUCAUUAGGAAUCAAUUUAAUAACUUUGGAUAUAGGAACAGAGGGCAUAAAACCUUUCCAAUCUUGAGUAAGCACUUAUCAUUUUUUUUCUUUGAAAAGGUGGACCAACCCUGGCAUCUGCAUCGGUUGAUGCACACAGUCAUAUAAUAUUAGUUAUUCAACAAUGCCUAGCAAAGCCUAUCAACGAUGUCGAACGAAUCAACUUUUAAAAAAGACCGAGGCCAUCCAUAGAAGGACCCACCUCACAACAACAUCUCCCCAAACCUACAACAAAGCCUAUGGCAUGUGUUCAAACAACGAACAAAAACACUACCCCUAGAGGAAGCCUUCAGUAAGGAAUCACAACACACGCGUCGAUGUCGACGGAUCCAACCAAAGGUUGCAUGUUGGGAUUUCAUCCUCUAAUAUGAUGACCCGGAGUAUGCGCAUAAUUGUCGUCGAAUGAUGAUGACCUGGAGUAUGCACAUAAUUGUCGUUGAAUGAUGAUGACUCACAUAAUUGACAUCAACCGUUCUACCGCUGAUGAUGACUCGCUAGUUGGAUCCCGCUCUUGUGAGAUCCCAAAUACCACCCAUGCCGCUACGGAAAACAUCGGGAGCAGGAAGAUGGCCUUGGUGCCCCGCUUCUAGACACUGUCACACCGCCUUCAGUACUCAUCCAUGAGGGAGAUAGGGACACUCGACGUUGGGUUACAACCAUAUCAUACGACUUAUGACUUCUUUUUUCAAUUGUUUGAUUUCAGAAAUAUUUAUGUAAACGCUAUUUACAUGGAAAAUGUUGAGCUUUCCAUCUUGCUCAUCUCUCAUACCCUACAAUUGCAGGCUGCGCUAGCUUCAAGCCGCGUCCGAAAGUGGGGUGGCACCGAAGCAACCAAACCUCUCCUGGAAGAGAAUUAGAUCACAUAAGCAUUUGUUUAUCUCCCUCUUUAUUCUUUGACGCUGUUCGUCUUUGUACUGAUCACACCAUAUACCAUGGAAAUUCUUCGAGUAUCAGUAGGGUAUGGAAACCAGGUUGAAUAACUACUCAUUUUUUUGAGCCUGAAUAGUGGAAACCAUAGGAGUAUAUGUCUUGCAUCGUUAUGAGCCUGAAUAGUGUACGCAUUUUUGUAUGCGGGUGCCAGAAGUUUGUUCUAUUAUCUGAAAGAAUUAUCAUGAGCGGAACCGAACUAUUGCCUGCUAAAAUGUUGCUUGUGUUUAAAUAAGAAAAGGCACGGCAACGCUCUCCAAUGGGCAGACCAAAAACGCAGUCACUUGGUAAAAAACAGACUUUUUAGGGUAUUUCUUUUUGGGAAAAAUGGCUUCAACGGCAUACCAAACUUUUAUAGACUAUAGGAUUGAGAAAUAUGGGUCAGGAUGGGAACGGGCCUAUUGGAUAAAACAACAAUUAGUAUUCACUGAGGGUCAAAGGCCAUUACAUAUACAUGUGUGGUAAAGUGCAGGAAACCCCUUAUACAAUGGGGAUGUACCGAAAAGGGACUAUACACAUCUAACACACACACACACACCCUCCCCCCCUCUCAAACUCAUGGUGGAUCAACAACACUGAAUUUGGAGAGAAGAAAACUAUGUUGCGCUCGAGUCUGUGCCUCCGUGAAGAAGUCCGCCAACUGUAACUCAGAGGGCACAUAGUGAAGAGCGAGAGUCUGAUCUUGCACAGCAGCACACACAAAGUGGGCAUCCACGCCGAUGUGCUUGGUGAGCUCAUGCUUCACCGGGUCACGCGCAAUACUGAUAGCACCGGUACUGUCUGACAGUAAGGGAGUCGAGGUAGUAGCAGACACACCAAAAUCCUCAAGUAACCACCGUAACCAGAUCACCUCAGCCGUCAACAUAGCCAUGGCUCACAACUCAGCCUGUGUACUCGAGCGAGAAACUGCAGUCUGUUUCUUUCUCUUCCAGGCAAUGAGAGAGCCAUCAAGAAAGACACAGUAAGCAGACAGCGGGCGUCGAUCAGAGGGAUCACUAGCCCAAGUAGCAUCAGAGUAGGCCUGGAGCUCGGAGUUCAUGGCGUGCUGCUGCAGCCAUGAAGGCUUCGUCGCCCCAAGUGGUCCGUCCCCGGUGACGGCGAAGCUCGAUCUGAGGGGAAGCUGUGUUGGACCCAAUUGCAGUUCUAUCUUAGAGUCUGGGGUCCUCCUUGUUAAAGUCAGGGGCCUGUGUGUGAUUUCUCUUUCUUUUGAGUCCUUAUCUGAGCUUUGUACUGUAAUGACCAGGAAUCAAUGAGGCUCUCUAGGUCCUUUGGGACCUAGUUUCUGUUCAAAAAAAAGUAGGCCUGGAGCUCGAGAGAGCUGGAGCGGGGGGAGAAAAGGCGAUGAGAGAUCGUGCCACAAAGAUAUCAUAGAACACGGAGGAGAUGACUAUAGUGGACAGAGGUGGGUGCUGAAACAAGCUGACUCAGGAUGUGAACAUGAUAGGAGAUGUCGGGAUGCGUAAUAGCAAGGUAGACAAGGCUGCCAAUAAGGUGACGAUAGCGAGUAGGAUUAGGAAGAGGGUCACCGUCAGAGGCACGAAGCUGAACGUUGAGCUCCAUAGGAGUCACAACAGUGCGCUCAUCACCAAGAGCGGCACGAGCAAGAAGAUCAUGUAUAUAUUUUUCCUGUGAGAUGUAGAAGCCAUCAGAGAUCGAGAAGAUCUCAAUCCCAAGAAAGUAUCAAGUGGACCAAGGUCAGACAUGAGGAACUGGUCGCGAAGGCGUGCCUUAACAAAGGCAGUAAGAGUCAUCACCAGUGAUGGUCAUGUCAUCAACAUAGAGAAGGAGAAGAGUCCGACCACGAGGAGACGUGUGAACAAAUAAUGCGGGAUCAUGAUCACUGGGCAAGAAACCAGUGGCAGUCACCACAGAGGCGAAACGCUCGAACCAGUCGUAAGGGGCCUACCAUAGAGGGAGCAACGAAGUCUACAGACCAUACCAUCAGGAGCAUAGUACCCCGGUGGUGGCUGCAUAUAAACCUCCUCACGCAACUCGCCAUUGAGAAAGGCGUUCUGUACAUCAAGUUGAGAGAUAGACCAAUGACGAAUAGAACCCACAGCAAGGAGAGUGCGGACAGUGGUCAUGUGGGCCACAGGAGCAAAUGUCUCGUCAUAAUGGCGUCCCUGCUCCUGCUGAAAACCACGAUCCACAAGCCGAGCUUUGUAGUGCUCAAGAGAACCAUCGGAGCGAGUCUUAAUCUUGUAGACCCACUUGCAGGUGAUGGGACGAACACCGGAAGGAAGGGAAACCAGAUCCCAUGUGCCAGAGCGCUCAAGGGCAGCAAGCUCUUCGGCCAUCCCAAGCUACCAUUCAGGCUGAGUCAUGGCAGUCCGAUAGGAAGUGGGCUCAGUAGUAAUAGAGAGACCGUACCGAUCAGGAGAAUAGCGAUCAGGCAGAGGACAAGACCGAGCACGGAGGUUAUGAACCGGGGGAGGUAUGAAGGGAGGCGCACCAGAGGUGGAAGGCGCAUCAGGGGAAGCAUCCUCAGAACGACGGCGACGAGUAUAGUGGAGAGGAAAUUAUGAGAGAGGGCAACGGACUGGAGAUAAUGGUGGAGAGGUGGAUGAGGAGGAUGGGGAAGAGGGUGCCGGUGGUGAAGGGGAAUGGAUGAGAGGUGCCAGAGGAAGAGGUGAAACAUGAGGCACAUAGCAGGGUGAAUCGGGAAGGAGAAGAAAAGAAAUCUCGUCCAUGGAGAAGCUUGAGGAAGAAGGAUGUGGGAAGUAAGAGCGAGACUCGUCAAAUGUCACGUCACGCGAGAUGCGCAAGCGACGGCCGACAGGAUCCCAACAACGAUAGCCCUUGUGCUCGUCACUGUAGCAAAGGAAAACACACUCAACCGACUGAGCAGUCAGUUUGGUGCGCUCGCGUGGGGCAAGAAGGACAUAGCACACACAUCCAAACAUACGAAGAGCUGAGUAGUCAGGAGAGCGACCAGUGAGACACUCCAUAGGAAUACCAUCCUGCAGAGCAGUCUAUGGCUGGAUGUUGAUGAGAUAGGUGGAUGCAGAAACAGCCUCAGCCCAAAAGUGGGGUGGAAGGGAGGCGGCAAUCAUCGGCGCACGAGCCGUCUCAAGCAGAUGAUGAUGCUUACGUUCUGCAACACCAUUCUGAGCAUGAGCACCAGGAUAUGAGAACUGGGCAAGGGUACCAUGUUCUGCGAGAAAACCACGCAACAGCUGGGAGAUAUACUCUCCAGCGGAGUCAGCACGAAAAAUAUGAAUAGGCGUGGAAAACUGGCUGUGAACCAUGGCAGCAAAUCGUUUGUGUAUAGAGAGAACCUCACUACGAGAUUUCAUGAAGUAGAGCCAAGUGUAGCGAGAGAAAUCAUCAAUAAACAAAACAUAGUAGCGAUGACCACCUUUCGAAUCAAACGGAGCAGGACCCCAGACAUCAGAGUGAACUAAGUCAAAAGGAUGCUGAGAUACCGACUGACUGGUAGGAUAAGGUAAUUGGGUCUAUUUUCCAAGUCUACAACCAUUACAAUGUAAAGAAACAUCUCCAGAUACAGACCCAAAGAGGCCCUGACGCACUAAUGAAGACAAGCGAGAGCCACAAAUGUAACUAAGGCGAUGUUGCCACUGCUGAAAGGACGCAGACGAAGAGCCAACAAGAGCAUGAGAGCUGACUGAAGUGGUGGCAGCGGAAGGAACACAAAGCCAGUCAACUUCCCAAAGGCCCUCUAACUCACGGCGCCGGGGGCGAGGACCAACCAAAACCUUGGUGCGGCGAUCCUGAAUGGAACAAGAGUCGAUAUCAAGAAUGACAUGACAACCAGAAUCAGUAAGUUGGGCAGCGGAAAAGAGAUUCAUGGUAAGGCUAGGAACAUGGAAAACACUAGGAACAGAAAAGGAUGGAGUGGAAAGAAUACCACGACUAGCAACAGGAAGAGAUGUGCUAUUGGCAGUAAGAAUAUUAAUAGGAGAAUCAAGAGGGUGAAGAGAAGACAACGCUAAAGAAUCAGAGGACAUAUGAAAUGAAGCUCCAGAGUCCAGAACCCACGAAGAUGUACCUGAUGAUGUAGAUGCCGACGGUGAUGAAGUGGUGGAAGCAGUCACAGCAGCAGCAGAACCCGUCGAUGAAGAACCAGAGGAAGCCAAAAGGCGCUUGAGCCGCACAAUGUCCUGGUUAAUGAGUGACGGAGUCGAUGACGACACAGGGGUCCCAGUGAAAGGGGAGCGCCUCUGGUUUCGCUGCUUCUGACGACAAUCAGACUCUGGGUGACCUGGCCUGAAGCAGUAGUCAUAGAAGGUGUCACGGCGCGACUGGCCCUUCUCAACAUAAGAAGGGCGACCCCCCCUGAAGGUGUGGGCAGGAGUGGUGGAGCAGUGAGACGAGCAUACGACACAGGAGCUCGAGCGGACAACACAGAAGGAACCGCAAGCAACCCAGCUUAACGAAGGUGGGUCUCCUCCGCACGAAGCUCAGCAAGUACCUCCGAGAUAGGAACACGGCCACGGGCAAGCAAGUGAGCACGUCGGGGCUCAAACUCGGAGAGGAGGCGAGAUAAGAACUCAUGGACACGCUGAAACUCCAAGUCAGACCGCGUAGUCUGACAGCAACGGCAAGUCCCACAAACAAUUGUCCGGAGAGAGUCAAGCUGACACCAGAUGGCAGAUCACUGUGAAUAGAACUCAUCAACAGAAGAAUCACCUUGCUGGAGUGCAUGCUCCUGACGCACCACAUAUAGGUAGAGAGCAUCACCAGAGAGCUGAUAGCGUUGACAGAGAUAAGAUCACAUCGCUGCAACUGUGCCAAGUCCCAUGAACCCCGAAGCAAACUGAGGGAGGACACUCGCAGUGAGAACAACAGCAGCUCGAGCAUCAUCAUUGCACCACUGAGUGUAAGCAGACAGAUCAUCGUGGUACAUAGAAAGAGCAUCUGAAUAGGUUGAUACCUGUUGAUCAUAAGCAUCAACCGCAGCAUCAUCUAGAGCCUUGGUUGCAUCUCCGUCAGCUUGUGAAGCAUCAGCAGCAAGUACCGGCGGCACCGAUGGGAUUGGGGCCACUGGCGCAACAGGGCAUGACGGACAAGGGACCUCGCCAGAGAGAACACCCCACAAAAGAAGACCACGCAUAUGGAUGCGCAUGAAGCCCACAAACUUAGCGUAGUUGGUGCCAUCGAAGGUCACAGAACACCAAAAAACAACAACAUAGCCCGAAGAAGACAUGAUGAGCUUUUUGUCUUUUUUUAAGUCAACUGCCUCAAGGACCCGAUUUGGAUCGAGAGAAGCGGGCAGGUGUGCCCGCGCUCACGCCCGAGGCAGGAUCGAGAGGCGCGGUCGCCCGAGCACCAGCAGCCUAGGCUGUGGAUCAGGAGCAGCCAGCCUGGGCAGCUCCGGACCAAGGCGCGGCCGAACAAAGCAACAGCCGCAUCAGCCGGACGGGGCAGGCGGACUAGGCGGCGGUCAGACGGGUCGGACUGGGCGGCGGCCAGGCGGAGCAGGCCGGACGGGGCUGCGUCCGGACGAAGCAGGCCAGACGGGGCGGUGGCCGGGCGGAGUGGGCGGUGGCCGGACGGAGCGGCGGCUGGACGGUGCGCUGCCGAACGGAACGGAGGCAGCAGUAGCUGGACGGGACAGCGGCCGGACGGAGAAGCAGCAGAGCCAAGCCGGGAACUGGGGAGGAGGCGGCCGGAGAUGCAGCGACCCGAUAGCCGGAGACAGGCAAGCUAGGAACGAGACGCACGGAGUUGCAUCAUGCGGAAAGAAGGGGCUAGCCUAACAUGUGAUACCAUGUUGGAUAAAACAGCAACUAGUAUUCACUGAGGGCCAAAGGCCAUUACAUAUACAUGUGUGGUAAAGUAUAGGAAACCCCUUAUACUAUGGGGAUGUACCGAAAAGGGACUAUACACAUCUAACAGGGCCGAUCCGGACCUGGCCAUGGACCCGGCCCCUGUGGCCCCAAUGCCAAUUUGAGAGGCAAUUGAUCGACCCAUAUAAAAAAUAGUCAAUGGCCUCGUUGGCCCGAUGGGUAUUUCCGAUAGACCCAAAUUUUUUCUUUACAUUGUCAUGUGGAUAAACGAGAUGUUAAAAUUAGACACGAUUUAUAAUAGAAUCCAACUAGUGUAAUAACUAAUAAGAUUACUAAUACGUGGUUAACAGAAAUGUUAGAACAUAAGCAGAGCUAAGAAUGUAUCACACACUGUAUUCCUUCACCUGGGGUUACAAAUAAGUAACAGUACAAGAAAGAGAGAGAAUACGCCGUCACAGCGAGUACCAAACGGUCCACUUGGGGAUCCUAUAUCUAAGGAGGACGAGGUGGUGCACCUGGUACACUGCCCUAUAUGCUACUCCCUUCGUUCUUGAAAGAAUGUAUUUCCAACUUUAUUGAAGGGAUAAAAUAUCUUAAAGUUUGACCGAGUUUGUGCAAAUAUAUGUCAAUGCUUGUGAAACCAAAUAGGUAUAUGACAAAAAUAUAUUUUAUCAUGAAUCUAAUGUUACUAAUUUGAUGGCAUAAAUGUUGGUCUAUUAUUGUAAAAAUACGGUUAAACAUAAAAAACUUUGACUUUUCAACAAAGUUGAAAAUACACUCUUUCAAGGACGGAGGAAGUAGCCAGUAGGAUGCGGCACAAGAAAUUUCUAACAAGAAAAGAAAAUCAAACGGUCAACUUGUGAUUUUAUACGUGCAUGAAGUAUAUCAAUUGCCGAAAAUUAUACGACAGAGACUACGUCGCAAAAUCGUUUCCUACCGAAACACCAACUCGACGAAGAUUACAGCUAGUGUGAGGUAUAAGACUAUAGGAUGGGCCGACACGGCUGAUCCAACGGGUCACCCGGUGCCGGCCCUAUUGACCCAAAUCUCAUUUGAGACCGACCCACAUGAUCCAUUGGCCUCGAAUUUUUGGGUUGGGUCAGCGAACCGGCGGGCCGACACGGCCCAUUCCUAUCCUGAAAUAUGGGUCUCCAACAGAUGCAAACCAAAAACACAAAACACACUCAGGGAACCCCAUCCACCUGGAAUUUCAUCGCGGCCGCCCCUCCCCACCUUGCCUCAACCAGGCCACCGCCUCCGUCAUUCUGUUGUCCGGCUCGAGCCCCGCUGAGGGAGUCCCGGAUUAGGGGGUGUCCGGAUGACCGGACUAUGACCUUUGGCCGGACUCCCGGACUAUGAAGAUACAAGAUUGAAGACUUCGUCCCGUGUCCGGAUAGGACUUUCCUUGGCGUGGAAGGCAAGCUUGGCAAUUCGAUAUGAAGAUCUCCUCCCAUUGUAACCGACUCUGUGUAACCCUAGCCCUCUCCGGUGUCUAUAUAAACCGGAGAGUUUUAGUCCGUAGGACGAACAACAAUCAUACCAUAGGCUAGCUUCUAGGGUUUAGCCUCUCUGAUCUCGUGGUAGAUCAACUCUUGUGCUACCCAUAUCAUCAAUAUUAAUCAAGCAGGAGUAGAGUUUUACCUCCAUCGAGAGGGCCCGAACCUGGGUAAAAACAUCGUGUCCCUUGUCUCCUGUUACAAUCCGCCUAGACGCACAGUUCGGGACCCCCUACCCGAGAUCCGCCGGUUUUGACACCGACAUUGGUGCUUUCAUUGAGAGUUCCUCUGUGUCAUCACAGUCAGGAAGGAUGCCGCACCCCGUCUUUAAAGACGGCGCUGUUGCUAAAGGAGCUUUGGCUGUUGGCCAAACUCUCCGGCUAGGCAGUUUUUUGAUGACCGCCUGUUCGGCCGCCGCGCCGACGAUGACCUCUCGGGUCAUCGAAAGCAAUUUCCACAUCAGCUCGGAACUCGCCGAGCAGUUAGAUCCGAUGGAGCUCUUUUCCUUAAACGAGCUCUUGGAUCGCAUCGCCGCCCUGGGAGUCGCUACAGAUUACGGCCAGAUUGGGCUUAAACCCGAUCUGAGAGAGAUUGACUCUCCCUAGGUCACCCACCACGUUGAAGUGGUGGAGGAACAAUGCGGCAAAUCUUCACCCAUCCUAAGGACCAGAUGUGUCCGGAUUCCUGAUCCCUCCAAGCCGGACAUCCGCGGAGGGGAGGACGUCGCCCAAGCCCUGAACCUAAAGUCAGGCAGCGGGCCUGAUUCAUUGGAUAACGUCCAAGAAAACAAGCUUUCGAGUUCGGAAAUUUCUUGGCCCCUGAGUCUUAGAUCGGGCGAGGCUCCGGAUUUAAAUCCAUCCGCCCACCCAAAUAUAAGGGAUCUAUCCCAAACUCGGCAAGAGCCCAGAGAAACAGUACACCAUUACUGGGCCAGAUUCCUCCUGGUUAUGAACAGGAUAUAGGACUGUCGCGAGAGGGAUGCAAUUUCAUUCUUCUGUAACAACUGCAGGGACAUCGGAAUCCUCAACGCCAUAAGUCGCCGCGAAAUUACACGCUUCGCCGACUUGACAUCCAUAGUACAAAAGUACUGUGCGACAGAAAGCGUUCGGAAAACCGAAACAAAAUUCUAGGACAAUCCGACCCCGAAUACAAUCUCAGUCCGGAACAAAAGGGCGCAUUAUCGCCAGACACCUGGGCCAAAGAGCAAAAAACAAAAACCCUCUAUAGGGUAUGGAACCGUACUGGAGGGAUGGCUCAAUGGACCCUGUAAAAUUCAUAAUACAGAGGGUGUCACACCAACUCAUAGCCUUAGAGCAUGUUGGAUACUCCGGCAGGUGGCCAGAAGUGGCGAGGAGCUUCUAACUCCAGAAUCCGCAGAGCACCACCCCAGAAACGCCAGUACGGUGUCAACAGUCUUCGAGACUUACGCAUCAAACAAUGCGAGUAAACGAACGCUCCGCAGCCUUACCAAAGUCUACCAAGUAGUGACAAUAAACCCAUGGAGUGACACGGCUAUUACCAUUAAUGCCAGUGACGAACCUAAAUUCCGGACAGCCCAAGCACCAGCCGCACUAGUCCUCAGUCCGAUAGUGGACGGCUUCCGGCUUACAAAGGUACUCAUGGACAGUGGCAGCGGAUUGAACCUCAUCUAUGAGGAAACCCUGCGUAAAAUGGAAAUAGACUGGAGCCGCAUUGAGCGAAGCAACACAACCUUUAGAGGAAUAAUCCCCAGCCGGGUGUUGGAAAUAUGCCCUAGAGGCAAUAAUAAAUUGAUUAUUAUUAUAUUUCCUUGUUCAUGAUAAUCGUUUAUUAUCCAUGCUAGAAUUGUAUUGAUAGGAAACUCAGAUACAUGUGUGGAUACAUAGACAACACCAUGUCCCUAGUAAGCCUCUAGUUGACUAGCUCGUUAAUCAAUAGAUGGUUAAGGUUUCCUGACCAUGGACAUUGGAUGUCGUUGAUAACGGGAUCACAUCAUUAGGAGAAUGAUGUGAUGGACAAGACCCAAUCCUAAGCCUAGCACAAGAUCAUGUAGUUCGUAUGCUAAAGCUUUUCUAAUGUCAAGUAUCAUUUCCUUAGACCAUGAGAUUGUGCAACUCCCGGAUACCGUAGGAGUGCUUUGGGUGUGCCAAACGUCACAACGUAACUGGGUGGCUAUAAAGGUACACUACGGGUAUCUCUGAAAGUGUCUGUUGGGUUGGCACGAAUCGAGAUUGGGAUUUGUCACUCCGUGUAAACGGAGAGGUAUCUCUGGGCCCACUCGGUAGGACAUCAUCAUAAUGUGCACAAUGUGACCAAGGGGUUGAUCACGGGAUGAUGUGUUACGGAACGAGUAAAGAGACUUGCCGGUAACGAGAUUGAACAAGGUAUCGGUAUACCGACGAUCGAAUCUCGGGCAAGUACCAUACCGCUAGACAAAGGGAAUUGUAUACGGGAUCGAUUGAGUCCUUGACAUCGUGGUUCAUCCGAUGAGAUCAUCGUGGAACAUGUGGGAGCCAACAUGGGUAUCCAGAUCCCGCUGUUGGUUAUUGACCGUAGAACGUCUCGGUCAUGUCUGCAUGUCUCCCGAACCCGUAGGGUCUACACACUUAAGGUUCGAUGACGCUAGGGUUAUAAAGGAAGCUUGUAUGUGGUUACCGAAUGUUGUUCGGAGUCCCGGAUGAGAUCCCGGACGUCACGAGGAGUUCCGGAAUGGUCCGGAGGUAAAGAUUUAUAUAUAGGAAGUCCUGUUUCGGCCAUCGGGACAAGUUUCGGGGUCAUCGGUAUUGUACCGGGACCACCGGAAGGGUCCCGGGGGCCCACCGGGUGGGGCCACCUGCCCCGGGGGGCCACAUGGGCUGUAGGGGGUGCGCCUUGGCCUACAUGGGCCAAGGGAACCAGCCCCUAGAGGCCCAUGCGCCAAGAUAUAGGAAAAAGGGGAGAGUCCUAAAGGGGGAAGGCACCUCCGAGGUGCCUUGGGGAGGAUGGACUCCUCCCCCCCUCUUAGCCGCACCCCUUCCUUGGAGGAAGGGGCAAGGCUGCGCCUCCCCCCUCUCCCCUGCCCCUAUAUAUAGUGGAGGGGAGGGAGGGCAUCCAUACCUGAGCCCUUGGCGCCUCCCUCCCUCCCGUGACACCUCCUCCUCUCCCGUAGGUGCUUGGCGAAGCCCUGCAGGAUUGCCACGCUCCUCCAUCACCACCACGCCGUUGUGCUGCUGCUAGAUGGAGUCUUCCUCAACCUCUCCCUCUCUCCUUGCUGGAUCAAGGCGUGGGAGACAUCAUCGAGCUGUACGUGUGUUGAACACGGAGGUGCCGUCCGUUCGGCACUAGGAUCAUCGGUGAUCUGAAUCACGACGAGUACGACUCCAUCAACCCCGUUCACUUGAACGCUUCCUCUUAGCGAUCUACAAGGGUAUGUAGAUGCACUCUCCUUCCCCUCGUUGCUAGUCUCUCCAUAGAUAGAUCUUGGUGACACGUAGGAAAAUUUUGAAUUUCUGCUACGUUCCCCAACAGUGGCAUCAUGAGCUAGGUCUAUUGCGUAGAUUCUUUGCACGAGUAGAACACAAAGUAGUUGUGGGCGUCGAUAUUGUUCAAUAUGCUUGCCGUUACUAGUCUUAUCUUGAUUCGGCGGCAUCGUGGGAUGAAGCGGCCCGGACCAACCUUACACGUACGCUUACGUGAGACCGGUUCCACCGACAAACAUGCACUAGUUGCAUAAGGUGGCUGGCGGGUGUCUGUCUCUCCCACUUUAGUCGGAUCGGAUUCGAUGAAAAGGGUCCUUAUGAAGGGUAAAUAGCAAUUGGCAUAUCACGUUGUGGUUCAUGCGUAGGUAAGAAACGUUCUUGCUAGAAACACAUAGCAGCCACGUAAAACAUGCAAACAACAAUUAGAGGACGUCUAACUUGUUUUUGCAGGGUAUGCUAUGUGAUGUGAUAUGGCCAAAAAGGAUGUGAUGAAUGAUAUAUGUGAUGUAUGAGAUUGAUCAUGUUCUUGUAAUAGGAAUCACGACUUGCAUGUCGAUGAGUAUGACAACCGGCAGGAGCCAUAGGAGUUGUCUUUAUUUAUUUGUGACAUGCGUGUCAACUUAAACGUCAUGUAAUUACUUUACUUUAUUGCUAACCGUUAGCCAUAGUAGUAGAAGUAAUAGUUGGCGAGGCAACUUCAUGAAGACACGAUGAUGGAGAUCAUGAUGAUGGAGAUCAUGGUGUCAUGCCGGUGACGAUGAUGAUCAUGGAGCCCCGAAGAUGGAGAUCAAAAGGAGCAAAGUGAUGAUGGCCAUAUCAUGUCACUAUUUGAUUGCAUGUGAUGUUUAUCAUGUUUAUGCAUCUUAUUUGCUUAGAACGACGGUAGUAAAUAAGAUGAUCCCUUACAACAAUUUCAAGAAGUGUUCUCCCCUAACUGUGCACCGUUGCGAUAGUUCGCUGUUUCAAAACAUCACGUGAUGAUCGGGUGUUUUAUUCAGACGUUCAAAUACAACGGGUGUUGACGAGCCUAGCAUGUACAGACAUGGCCUCGGAACACACGCGAAACACUUAGGGUUAACUUGACGAGCCUAGCAUGUACAGACAUGGCCUCGGAACACGGAGACUGAAAGGUCGAACAUGAGUCGUAUAGAAGAUACGAUCAACAUGAAGAUGUUCACCGAUGAUGACUAGUCCGUCUCACAUGAUGAUCGGACACGGCCUAGUUUGACUCGGAUCAUGUAAUCACUUAGAUGACUAGAGGGAUGUUUAUUUGAGUGGGAGUUCAUAAGAUGAACUUAAUUAUCCUGAACAUAGUCAAAAGGAUUUUGCAAAUUAUGUCGUAGCUCACGCUAUAGUUCUACUGUUUAGAUAUGUUCCUAGAGAAAAAUUAGUUGAAAGUUGAUAGUAGCAAUUAUGCGGACUAGGUCCGUAAACUGAGGAUUGUCCUCAUUGCUUCAUAGAAGGCUUAUGUCCUUAAUGCACCGCUCAGUGUGCUGAACCUCGAACGUUGUCUGUGGUUGUUGCGAACAUCUGACAUACACGUUUUGAUAACUACGUGAUAGUUCAGUUAAACGGUUUAGAGUUGAGGCACCAAAGACGUUUUUGAAACAUCGCGAAACAUAUGAGAUGUUUUGAGGGCUGAAAUUGGGAUUUCAGGCUCGUGCCCAUGUCAAGAGGUAUAAGACCUCCGAUGACUUUCUUAACCUGCAAACUAAGGAGAAAAGCUCAAUUGUUGAGCUUGUGCUCAGAUUGUCUGAGUACAACAAUCAUUUGAAUCGAGUGGGAGUUGAUCUUCCAGAUGAAACAGUGAUGGUUCUCCAAAGUCAUUGCCACCAAGCUGUUAGAGCUUCGUGAUGAACUAUAACAUAUCAGGGAUAGAUAUGAUGAUCCUUGAGGUAUUCGCGAUGUUUGACACCGCGAAAGUAGAAAUCAAGAAGGAGCAUCAAUUGUUGAUGGUUGGUGAAACCACUAGUUUCAAGAAGGGCAAGGGCAAGAAGGGAUACUUCAUGAAACGGCAAAUCAGCUGCUGCUCUAGUGAAGAAACCCAAGGUAAAACCCAAACCCGAGACUAAGUGCUUCUGUAAUAAGGGGAACAACCACUAGAGCAGAAUUACCCUAGAUACUUGGUAGAUAAGAAGGCUGGCAAGGUCGAUAGAAGUAUAUUGGAUAUACAUUGUGUUAAUGUGUACUUUGCUAGUACUCCUAGUAGCACCAGGGUAUUAGAUACCGGUUCGGUUGCUAAGUGUUAGUAACUCGAAAUAAAAGCUACGGAAUAAACGGAGACUAGCUAAAGGUGAGCUGACGAUAUAUGUUGGAAGUGUUUCCAAGUUUGAUGUAAUCAACCAUCGCACGUUCCCUCUACCAUCAAGAUUAGUAUUAAACCUGAGUGGUUUAUUGAAUCUCGAUCGUAGUGAUACACAUUUUCAUGCCAAAAGAUAGUAAUGAUAGUACCACUUACUGGUGGCACUGCCAUGUAAGUCAUAUCGGUAUAAAACGCAUGAAGAAGCUCCAUAUUGAUGGAUCUUUGGGCUCACUCGUUUUUGAAAAGUUUGAGACAUGCGAACCAUGUCUAUUGGUGUAUAUGCAUGAAGAAAAUCCAUGCAAAUGGACCGUUUUGACUCACUUGAUUUUGAAUCACUUGGGACAUGCAAAUCAUACCACAUGGGCAAGAUGACUGAAAAGCCUCGUUUUCAGUAAGAUGGAAAAGGAAAGCAACUUGUUGGAAGUAACACAUUUUGAUGUGCGCAGUCCAAUGAGUGCUGAGGCAUGCAGUGAAUAUCGUUAUGUUCUUACUUCACAGAUAAUUUAAGUGGAUGUUGAGUACAUUUACUUGAUGAAUCAUGAGUCUGAAUUAUUGAAAGGUUCAAGUAAUUUCAGGGUGAAGUUGAAAGAUCGUCGUGACAAGAGGAUAAAAUAUCUAUGAUAUGAUCAUAGAGAUGAAUAUCUGAAUUACGAGUUUGGCACAGAAUUAAGACAUUGUGGAAAUAGUUUCACAACUAAUACAGCCUGGAACACCAUAGUGUGAUGGUGUGUCCGAACAUCAUAACUGCACCCUAUUGGAUAUGAUGCAUACCAUGAUGUCUCUUAUCAAAGUACCACUAUAGUUUAUGGGUUAGGCAUUAGAGACAACCACAUUCACUUUAAGUAGGGCACCACGUAAUUCCGUUGAGAUGACACCGUAUGAAUUAUGGUUUAGAGAAACCUAAGCUGUCAUUUCUUAAAAGUUUGGGGCUGCGACGCUUAUGUGAGAAAGUUUCAGGCUGAUAAGCUCAAACCCAAAGCGGAUAAAUGCAUCUUCAUAGGACACCCAAAACAUUUGGGUAUACCUCCUGUCUUAGAUCCGAAAGCAAUAAGGGAUUGUUUCGAGAAUCAGGUCCUUUCUCGAGGAAAAGUUUCUCUCGAAAGAAUUGAGUGGGAGGAUGGUGGAGACUUGAUGAGGUUAUUGAACCAUCACUUCAACAAGUGUGUAGCAGGGCACAGGAAGUUGUUCCUGUGGCACCUACACCAAUUGAAGUGGAAGCUUAUGAUAGUGAUCAUGAAGUUUCGGAUCAAGUCACUACCGAACCUCGUAGGGUGACAAGGAUACGUACUACUUCAGAGUGGUACAGUAAUCCUGUCUUGGAAGUCAUGUUGCUAGACAACAAUGAACCUACGAGCUAUGGAGAAGCGAUGGUGGGCCCGGAUUCCGAUAAAUGGCUCAAGGCCAUAAAACCCGAGAGAGGAUCCAUGUAUGAAAACAAAGUGUAGACUUUGGAAGAACUACUUGAUGGUCAUAAGGCUGUUAGGUACAUAUGGAUUUUGAAAGGAAGACAGACAAUGAUGGUAAGUGUCACCAUUGAGAAAGCUCGACUUGUCGUUAAGAUGUUUUUCGACAAGUUCAAGGAGUUGACUACGAUGAGACUUUCUCACUCGUAGCGAUGCUAAGAGUCUGUUGGAAUUAUAUUAGCAAUUACUGCAUUAUUUAUGAAAUCUUGCAGAUAGGAUGUCAAAAAUUGUUUCCUCGACGAUUCUUGAGGAAAGGUUGUAUGUGAUACAACCGGAAGGUUUUGUCUAUCCUGAGAUAUGCUAAUAAGUAUGCAAAGGUCCAGCAAUCCUUCUGAGGACUGGAGUGAGCAUCUCGGAGUUGGAAUGUAUGCUUUGAUGAUGAUCAAAGAUUUUGGGUGUAUACAAAGUUUAUGAGAAACUUGUAUUUCCAAAGAAGUGAGUGGGAGCACUAUAGAAUUUCUGAUGAGUAUAUGUUGUUGACAUAUUAAUGAUCAGAAAUGACGUAGAAUUUCUGGAAAGCAUAUAGGGUUAUUUGGAAAGUGUUUUCAAUGGAAAACCUGGAUUAAGCUACUUGAACAUUGAGCAUCAAGAUCUAUAAGGAUAGAUCAAAACGCUUAAUAGUACUUUCAAAUGAGCACAUGCCUUGACGUGAUCUUGAAGGUGUUCAAGAUGGAUCAGUCAAAGAAGGAGUUCUUGCCUGAGUUGUAAGGUAUGAAGUUAAGACUUAAAGCUCGACCAUGGCAGAAUAGAGAGAAAGGAACGAAGGUCGUCCCCUAUGCUUAAGACAUAGGCUCUACAGUAUGCUAUGUUGUGUACCGCACCUGAAGUGUGCUUUACCAUGAGUCAGUCAAGGGGUACAAGAGUGAUCCAAGAAUGGAUCACAGGACAUCGGUCAAAGUUAUCCUUAGUAACUAGUGGACUAAGGAAUUUUCUCAAUUAUGGAGGUGGUAAAAGAGUUCGUCGUAAAGGGUUACGUCGAUGCAAGCUUAACACCUAUCCGGAUAGCUCUGAGUAGAGAUACCGGAUACGUAUAAUGGAGCAACAAUUAAGAAUAGCUCCAAGUAGAACAGUUAUUUGGAAUAGCUCCAAAUAGAACGUGGUAGCUGCAUCUAGGAGAUGACAUAGAGAUUUGUAAAGCACACACGGAUCUGAAAGGUUCAGACCCGUUGACUAUAACCUCUCUCACAAGCAUAACAUGAUCAAACCCAGAACUCAUCGAGUGUUAAUCACAUGGUAAAUGUGAACUAGAUUAUUGACUCUAGUAAACUCUUUGGGUGUUAGUCACAUGGGGAUGUGACCUUGAGUGUUAAUCACAUAUCGAUGUGAACUAGAUUAUUGACUCUAGUGCAAGUGGGAGACUGUUGGAAAUAUGCCCUAGAGGCAAUAAUAAAAGUGUUAUUAUUAUAUUUCUUUGUUCAUGAUAAUAGUCUUUUAUUCAUGCUAUAACUGUAUUAUCCGGAAAUCGUAAUACACGUGUGAAUACAUAGACCACAAUAUGUCCCUAGUGAGCCUCUAGUUGACUAGCUCGUUGUGAUCAACAGAUAGUCAUGGUUUCCUGGCUAUGGACAUUGGAUGUCGUUGAUAACAGGAUCACAUCAUUAGGAGAAUGAUGUGAUGGACAAGACCCAAUCCUAAGCUUAGCACAAAGAUCGUGUAGUUCGUUUGCUAGAGCUUUGCCAAUGUCAAGUAUCUCUUCCUUUGACCAUGAGAUCGUGUAACUCCUGGAUACCGUAGGAGUGCCUUGGGUGUAUCAAACGUCACAACGUAACUGGGUGACUAUAAAGGUACACUACAGGUAUCUCCGAAAGUAUCUAUUGUUUUAUGCGGAUCGAGACUGGGAUUUGUCACUCCGUGUAAACGGAGAGGUAUCUCUGGGCCCACUCGGUAGGACAUCAUCAUAUGCGCAAUGUGACCAAGGAGUUGAUCACGGGAUGAUGUGUUACGGAACGAGUAAAGUGACUUGCCGGUAACGAGAUUGAACAAGGUAUCGGUAUACCGACGAUCGAAUCUCGGGCAAGUAAAAUACCGCUAGACAAAGGGAAUUGAAUAUGGGAUUGAUUAAGUCCUUGACAUCGUGGUUCAUCCGAUGAGAUCAUCGUGGAACAUGUGGGAGCCAUCAUGGGUAUCCAGAUCCCGCUGUUGGUUAUUGACCGGAGAACGUCUCGGUCAUGUCUGCAUGUCUCCCGAACCCGUAGGGUCUACACACUUAAGGUUCGAUGACGCUAGGGUUAUAAAGGAAGCUUGUAUGUGGUUACCGAAUGUUGUUCGGAGUCCCGGAUGAGAUCCCGGACGUCACGAGGAGUUCCGGAAUGGUCUGGAGGUAAAGAUUUAUAUAUAGGAAGUCCUGUUUCGGCCAUCGGGACAAGUUUCGGGGUCAUCGGUAUUGUACCGGGACCACCGGAAGGGUCCCGGGGGCCCACCGGGUGGGGCCACCUGCCCCGGGGGGCCACAUGGGCUGUAGGGGGUGCGCCUUGGCCUACAUGGGCCAAGGGCACCAGCCCCUAGAGGCCCAUGCGCCAAGAUAUAGGAAAAAGGGGAGAGUCCUAAAGGGGGAAGGCACCUCCGAGGUGCCUUGGGGAGGAUGGACUCCUCCCCCCCUCUUAGCCGCACCCCUUCCUUGGAGGAAGGAGCAAGGCUGCGCCUCCCCCCUCUCCCCUGCCCCUAUAUAUAGUGGAGGGGAGGGAGGGCAUCCAUAUCUGAGCCCUUGGCGCCUCCCUCCCUCCCGUGACACCUCCUCCUCUCCCGUAGGUGCUUGGCGAAGCCCUGCAGGAUUGCCACGCUCCUCCAUCACCACCACGCCGUUGUGCUGCUGCUGGAUGGAGUCUUCCUCAACCUCUCCCUCUCUCCUUGCUGGAUCAAGGCGUGGGAGACAUCGUCGAGCUGUACGUGUGUUGAACGCGGAGGUGCCGUCCGUUCGGCACUAGGAUCAUCGGUGAUCUGAAUCACGACGAGUACGACUCCAUCAACCCCGUUCACUUGAACGCUUCCGCUUAGCGAUCUACAAGGGUAUGUAGAUGCACUCUCCUUUCUACUCGUUGCUGGUCUCUCCAUAGAUAGAUCUUGGUGAUACGUAGGAAAUUUUUUGAAUUUCUGCUACGUUCCCCAACACCGGGAAGCGUGCUAUUCAGGGAAAAUCACACUGGAUGUGGUGUUCGGCACGCCGGAUAAUUACAGAUCCGAGGAGGUCACAUUUCAAGUGGCCCCGUUUAGCAGCGGAUAUCACGCUCUGUUAGGGCGAGAAGCAUUCACAAUUUUUCAAGCUAUACCCCAUUACGGGUACAUGAAGCUCAAAAUGCCCGGACCCAACGGAAUCAUCACUCUUGCUAGUGAUACGGACACAGCGCUCCGCGCCGAAAAUAAGACAGCUGCACUGGCCCUCGAGGCAUUAUUCGAAGCCCUGGCGGCCGAGGAACUAACUGUGUUGCCCUCCACGGUGGACAGGGACGACGUGAUACUCGACAAAAGAUCCAAGUCCACCUCCUUCAAGCCGGCAGACGAAAUAGUCAAGUUCCAAGUCCAUCCAACGGACACUACAAAAACGGCCUCCAUCGGGGCACAACUAAGCCCUGAUGUAGACGCCGCACUCAGAGAAUUCCUACGAGAAAAUUGGGACAUUUUUGCCUGGCACCCUUCAGACAUGCCAGGAAUCCCACGCAGGCUGGCCGAGCACAGCCUGAACAUCCUAAAAGGAUUCAAGCCCGUUAAGCAGACUCUUUGGCAUUUCUCCGAACCUAAGAGACAAGCCAUGGGAGAGGAGCUAGCCAAACUACUGGAAGCCGGACAUCAGAGAUAUAAAACAUCCGGACUGGCUAGCAAACCUGGUAAUGGUACCAAAGAAGGACAAAUCCUGGCGCCUAUGCAUCGAUUUCAAAGACCUAAAUAAGGCCUGCCCGAAGGAUCCAUUCCCCCUCCCCCGCAUUGAUCAAAUCAUCGAUGCCACUGCAGGACACGAUUCACUGUGUUUCCUCGAUGCAUACUCUGGCUACCACCAAAUCAAGAUGGCAGAGUCAGACCAAGCCGCAACAGCAUUCAUCACCCCAUACGUCCCAUUCUGCUUCGACACAAUGCCCUUCGGGCUCAAAAACGCCGGCGCAACAUAUCAGCGCAUGAUUCAGACAUGUCUGGGCAACCAGAUCGGCAAAACGGUUGAAGCGUACGUGGAUGACGUGGUCGUCAAAACCAAACACGUCGAAACUCUAAUAGACGACUUGAGGCUCACGUUCGAUAACCUCUGAACAUAUGACAUUAGGCUUAACCCGGAAAAAUGCGUCUUCGGCGUACCAGCCAGAAAGCUCUUGGGCUUCAUCGUAUCCGGUAGAGGAAUUGAAGCAAACCCAGCCAAGAUCCGAGCUCUGUGACAAUUGGAUAUUCCAAAAGAUCUCAAGCAAAUACAAAAAUUGACUGGAUGCGUGGCGGCUCUAAUCCGCUUCAUCUCCCGCUUGGGGGAAAAGGCAUUACCCCUUUACCGCCUCCUUCGGCGCACCGAACACUUCGAGUGGACGGAUGCCGCCAUGGCCGGACUCGAAGAAAUAAAAGCCAUACUGGCAACAAACCCUGUCCUGGUCGCGCCUAGCAUCAGCUAACCAAUGUUGUUAUACAUCGCGGCAACUCACCAAGUUGUAAGCGCAGUCCUCGUCGUCGAAUGAGAAACGGAGGGACACAAAUUCCCUGUCCAGAAACCAGUGUACUACGUGUCCACUGUCCUCACUCCAUGCAAGUCCCGGUACCCGCAUUACCAAAAAAUAGCAUACGCAGUGUUCAUGGCAUCCCGGAAGCUACGACACUACUUUCAAGAGUGUUCGAUAACAGUAGCCUCCGAAGUACCUCUUAACGAUAUCAUAAACAACCGCGAUGCAACGGGCCGGAUUGCCAAAUGGGCCAUUGAGCUCCUCCCGUUCGACAUAACAUAUAAGCCAUGGCGAGCCAUCAAGUCGCAAACCAUGGCCGACUUUGUCGCUGAAUGGACUGAAGCCGAACUCCUUAAAGAGUACGGCACAUAUUCCAACUGGACCAUGCACUUUGACGGCUCCAAAAUGCUGGCGGGUCUGGGGCCUGGCGUCGUCUUGACAUCCCCAACAGGAGAUACAGUUCAAUAUGUACUCCAGAUAAUGUAUACGGACUCCAACAAUGCAGCCGAAUACGAGGCCCUGCUACAUGGCCUCCGGAUGGCAGUCUCCUUGGGCAUUCAACGCCUAGAGGUGCAGGGGGAUUCGAACCUCGCGAUAUCCCAAAUAAACGGGGACUUUGAUGCCAAAGAUCCGAAAAUGGCAGCUUAUCGCAACGCCGUCCUAAAUAUGUCAGCUUGGUUUGAAGGGCUGGAAUUCCACCAUAUAGCCCGGGAAAAUAAUCAGGCAGCAGACGUCCUGGCACGCAUCGGCGCAAAGCGCGAUGCAAUCCCCCCCCCCCCCAACAUUUUCCUGGAAAUGCUAUUCAAGCCAUCCGUACAGUGGGAAGGGGAAUCCGGAAAUCACAACCCGGACCUGGCCGCAUCACCUGACCCCGACCACCCUGACACAACUGAAGACUCCGUCAAUGAAGUCACACCCUCAGCCCAUGUAAUAAUGGCAGUAAUUGCCCCGUGGACAGAACCAUUCUUAGCCUACUUAACUAGGCAGGAACUUCCCGAGGACCAAAAUGAGGCACGCUGCAUAGUGCGGUGAUCUAAAGCCUAUAAAGUCCACGAAGGAGAGCUUUAUAAGAAAAGCACCACCGGAGUCCUUCAAAGAUGUAUCUCCAAAGAGGAAGGGUAGAACCUUCUGGCUGAAAUUCACGCCGGACUCGGCGGGCACCACGCUGCAGCCCGAGCCCUUGUGAGCAAGGCCUUCCGUACCGGAUUUUAUUGGCCGACGGCCCGGGCAGACGCUCAGGACUUAGUCCAGCGAUGCGUCGGUUGCCAAUUAUUCGCUAAUCAAAGCCACAUGCCGCCUACCGCCCUACAAACCAUACCCAUUACCUGGCCUUUUGCGGUCUAGGGGCUUGACAUGGUUGGACCCCUUAAAGGAGGAACCCACAAGCAAAAAUAUCUACUGGUCAUGGUGGACAAAUUCACCAAAUGGAUAGAGGCCAAGCCUGUUAAGACGGCCGAAUCCGGACCGGUGAUAGACUUCAUAUCCGGGGUUGUACACCGUUACGGUGUCCCCCACAGCAUCAUCACUGACAACGGCACAAACUUUACGGCCGACGAAGUUAAACUCUGGUGCAAAAACAUGGGCAUUAAGCUCGACUACGCUUCAGUCUACCGCCCACAAACUAACGGUCAAGUCGAGCGAGCCAACGGUCUCAUCAUGAGCGGCAUCAAACCCAGACUAGUGCGAUCCCUCAAGGAAUCUAACACGCACUGGGUAGAGGAGCUUGACUCCGUACUCUGGGGGCUGCGGACCACGCCGAAUCGCACUACUGGAUUCACACCAUUUUUUAUGGUAUACGGUGCAGAGGCAGUCCUGCCCUGCGACAUAAUUCAUGACUCACCUCGCAUGCACAUGUACAAAGAAAGAGAAGCCGAUCUUGAUCAGCAGGACAGCUUGGACACAUUGGAGGAGGAGCGCGACGUGGCAAAAGCCCGUUCCGCAUUCUAUCAACAGCAGGCUCGAAGAUAUCACAACAAAGAAGUACGGGCCAAAACUUAUAACGUUGGCGAACUAGUUCUACGCCUGCCGGACAAGAAAAAGGACAAACUAAAGCCCAAAUGGGAGGGUCCCUUCAUAAUUGAUCAAGUCCUGACUGGUGGAGCGUACCGUCUGCGAAACGCAUCGGACAACCGACUCGAGCUGAACCCAUGGAACGCAGCACGCCUACGAAGAUUCUACGCCUAGCGCCGGACUCUGUGUUCGUCUCCUUCCUCUGUCCGUUUUUUUAUUACUUAUUUCAAAUUAGCUGCCUGGUAUUUCUCUCCUUCUCCCUCCCUUUUUCUCCCAAGCCUUUGGGGGCUUGCCUGCGCGUUGUUCGCACAUACUUGACGCGCCACCCGCGCUCAUUAUACCUGGGGGCUUCUUUAUCAGAAGCUUAUAUAAACGGGCCUCAUGCCCAAAACAUGUGUGACACUUCCGCAUGAACCUUUUAUGCACCAUUAUAUGUAUCGAUAUGACUUAAGUUUUGGCCAAGCUGGGUUGCCUGGCUCCUGUGCUUACCCUACGUUCCCGUUUGUUCGGCUAGGUGGUAAAGGGAGCACCUCUGUGAUUGUUACUGCCGGGUCAGCCGAAUGUGUACCUCAGACUAGGUGAAGCCGAAAGCUAGCGUUCUUAAGGGAAUAUUCGGUCGGUGAACUAAAAGAUGAUUUUUCAUUUGUCUAUUUAUCUGCCCCCAGAUGCUUUUCUGCUUUCUUUUCGCAGUCUGUACAUGCACUUUAGGGCAUGCCUCCCAGGGAAAGGAACCCUUAACGGAACUAUUCUCCCUGGAAGAUGUUUCUUACUAACCAUGUAAUAUAACAUAACUAGUUGGGCACUUGUCUGCUAAAGCACUUAUGACCCCUACGCCUGGUCUCCAUGCAUGCCCCGGUUCUUACAUAACCGAGAGGGUAUUCGGACACACUCCGGACUAUCGGGUCCAGAGGUUGAAGCGAAAAGGUCCGCAAUGACAAACGAUCUACAAUCCGGCUAGAAGGCAUUUUACAUGUCAUUUUAAAUUACAUAGUCAAUUUGAGUAGGUAUAUUCUUCUUCAAUACCAUCCAACAGGUUGUCUAAUUUACAGUCCUGUUGGGAAUACUUGGCAGCCAGCUCUACCUGGCCAUACACUAAACUGACAGGGAUCUCCUUUCCGUCAGGCCCCACAGGGCUGACCUCGGCCAUGUGGUUCGGGUCAGCCUUCGUGUACCGAGUCUUCACCAUGGCCCAGGCCUCCCUGGCACCUUGACGGCAGGCCGAUAUCUUUCAUAACCGGAAGCGCUGCCGCACUCCCUUCAGCUUCUCUGCAAGCUCUUCAAGGCCUUCGGGCAUGGAGAGGGAUGGCCACAUAGCCUGGACGACGCCUUGCAUUCCCUGCCGAACUCGUUCGUGCAGUUGCAACAGCUCGGGAAGAAGGUCCCCCACUGAACCGGGCAUUUCCUCCGCAGGACGACCUGUCAGCAUAUCUGCAGACAUAGCUCUGUCAAUCGAUUUCCUCACCGAACUCUUUUUUUGAAGAUUCGUUUAAGAACUUACUAAAAAUGCCGCGUCGAAGUCACCGAUUCUCCUUUACGGAAUCAGACAGCUGAGCACGAACAUCCUUUAGUUCCUCGCCCAGCUGGGUAUUGGUGUCUUGAAGCUUGUUCUUCUCUUGCCUCACCCUCGUCAGCACGCUCUCGCCGGCCUUUAACUGGCGCAGGAGUUGUUGCUUGUCCGGAUUCACUCCGGCCCCAUCUGCACUGUUAUUGUCAGAAUUGCACACACGCACUUCACAACAGAAUUAUCUUUCGAAGCAUAUAUUACCUGAGGGGGUCCCCUUGGCAUUCUCUGAAGCGGCCAGUGCAGCCUCGAGUUGGGCCUUGCACUCUUCCAGCUCCUGGGACAGUUGCUUAUUCUUUUUUGUAAGAUCCUGCAUAACAUAUGAUCCUUAAAUCAGUUAUCUUAACUGUUUCAAGUCUCGGGGGCUACUGACAUAUAUAACCAUCAGAUUUACUCACCCGUAUGUCUUUCACAUACUGCUCUGUGGCUCUGGCUAGACCAUUUUGAGCGGCACGGAGGUACGCAUCUCCCAUAUUAAAGGCGUCCAACGCCUCUUGGGAAAAACAUGCGUCACGAAGAACAGUCCGGCGACGCCUGUGGUUCAUGGCACUCUCCACCUCUAAAUGGGUGGCAGAUAGCCCGCCCGCGUCCUUUGUCAGAGGAACGUCCGGUGCGCGCCCCGUGUUCGCCUCCGCUUCCGGACCCGGCCUUGCAGCCUGGCCGGUGGAUGUAGUCCGGCGGGCGCUCUUCUUCCUGAGGAGAGCAUGAGCGUUAGUAUGACUUAAGGGCAUAAACCCUAGGCGUUAAAGUUGUGCGCCGUACCGUUGUGCCGGAGUCUCGAUCCAGUCCGCACUCCUUUUUAGCCCACCUGGCUUCAAUGGCCCUUGUUGGCUACGCAUCGCGGGCUCGGCCUUCCGCCUCAAGGAUUUCCCCUGCAAAACGAAACAUUAUUGGUUUACGACAAUUAAAAUAAAGCAUGGAUGUAUCCUCUUGAAAGUACUGGGACUUUGGUCUCGGUUACCUUUGAGGCUGGAAGUAGUCCGGGAUAGUCGGCCGUAAUGGCCACUAAGGUAUUGUCCUUACUCAAUUGGUGAAACACCCCAUCAAUUAGCUCCACACAUAAGUCUGGGUCCUCUUGGGAGUCCGGGUCGAGGGACCGUUCCGGGUCCUCGGGUUGUGGAGGAGGGCUGUUUAUCUCCUUCACAGUCUCACGCAGCUCCUGCGUUAAAAUUGCUAGACUAAGUACUCAAUUAUGGGAAUUUGAAAACAGGUAGGCAGGUGAAAAUGUUCGCUCACCCAGCUUGGAGGAUUGUACAUGGAGAAUCCGCCCCGUGGGUUGACACGGAGGAAUUCCUCUUCUUCUCCCUUGUACAAAGCGGAUAAGAUCUUCGUUAGAGUGGUAGCAGAAUCCAGCCCCUUGCGACCGCAUCGGGUGGCGUCGUCCUCCCCGUUGAAAUCCCACAUGGGGUGGCCUCUGUACUGAAGCGGUUGCACCCCCGCGUAAUGCAUGUGGCCAUGACCUUGAUCAUGGUCAGUCCGGAAUGAGCCAACAACCUUAUCCGGCUCAUCAGGUAAAGGACGUCCCUGUCAGUUUCCCUCUGAGGGUUCCGUGGGCGCCAGCUCAGGCGUUUCUUCAACGGAGCGUUAUUGAACUCAGGGAGGCCGAUCCGUACAGGGUCCGGCAGGGGGACGUCGUCCAUAUAAAACCAUUCCGAAGGCCAGUCCUCGGACGCCUUCUUUGGGGUUCCGGAUAGAUAUCCGGUCCCGGCGAUGCGCUAUGGUUCGGCUCCACCCACCUGAUAAAUUGACCCCUCCUGAGAGCGGGGCACAAGGCAGAACAACCUCUUCCACAGCGCGAAAUGGGCCUCGAUGCCCAGAAACAGCUCGCAGAGGGCCAAAAGCCCGCAAUAUGCAGUACGGAGGCAGGCGUGAGGUUGUGUAGCUGGAGGCCGUAAAACUCCAGUAGCCCUCGGAGGAACGAAUGAAUUGGAAAUCCGAGUCCUCUUGUUAAAUAAGGGACUAGGCAUACCCACUCUCCUUGAGAGGGAUUGGGGAUGCUCUCCGCCUACUCUCCGCCGCUAUAGGUGGCAAUCCCGGCUCGAACUAGGACCAUAUAUGCUGGGGGGAGGAGCCCCUUGGAUUGAAGCACUACUAGCUUGCUAUGCGGGACGGAACACCGCUCCCAAUCUCCGGGCCGAGGGCUAGAGAGGCGAGAGAAGGAGCUGCUUCGACCGGCCAUGGUGGAAUGGAUCUCUGUCGAAAGCGCUCUGAUGAAUACUCGCGGAGGGAAGGUGGUGUGAAUUGGAUCUAAAUCCUCAUCUCUUUUAUGGGCGGCUCAUUUANNNNNNNNNNNNNNNNNNNNNNNNNNNNNNNNNNNNNNNNNNNNNNNNNNNNNNNNNNNNNNNNNNNNNNNNNNNNNNNNNNNNNNNNNNNNNNNNNNNNNNNNNNNNNNNNNNNNNNNNNNNNNNNNNNNNNNNNNNGGGGGGGGGGGUAAAUGAAAAAAACUCCCUGGCUUUUCGCAUUCGUUUGACACGUGGAAGAUGGUCAUUAUUGGGCACAGAAGCUGAGGAGAGCAGCAUGCGCUAGAAGCCGGACACUAUUUGACAGGUACGUGGAAUUUGGAGAAGAACCGCCUUGCAAUGCCGAAGACAAACUUGCGCGCCGGACUUAUCAUCAUUGAAGCCUGGUUCAGGGGCUACUCAGGGAGUCCCGGAUUAGGGGGUGUCCGGAUGGCCGGACUAUGACCUUUGGCCGGACUCCCGGACUAUGAAGAUACAAGAUUGAAGACUUCGUCCCGUGUCCGGAUAGGACUUUCCUUGGCGUGGAAGGCAAGCUUGGCGAUUCGAUAUGAAGAUCUCCUCCCAUUGUAACCGACUCUGUGUAACCCUAGCCCUCUCUGGUGUCUAUAUAAACCGGAGAGUUUUAGUCCGUAGGACGAACAACAAUCAUACCAUAUGCUAGCUUCUAGGGUUUAGCCUCUCUGAUCUCGUGGUAGAUCAACUCUUGUACUACCCAUAUCAUCAAUAUUAAUCAAGUAGGAGUAGGGUUUUACCUCCAUCGAGAGGGCCCGAACCUGGGUAAAAACAUCAUGUCCCUUGUCUUCUGUUACCAUCCGCCUAGACGCACAGUUCGGGACCCCCUACCCGAGAUCCGCCGGUUUUGACACCGACACCCGCCGCCCGUUCCCGUCGGUCGAGAUGUUCGCCAUGACCCCCGCGGAAGCUCGGGACGCCACCGCCCAAAGUCGCCGAUCUCGGUGGUUCUCCCGCCCCGCCACUGCCCGAUAUGCUCAUCGCCGCCCGUCGGGGUCAAUUAGCGGUCGUGCGACCACCACGCGGCCCACGCAGUCAUCGUCGAGCUGUGGCUUUGUGCCGAGUUCUCGGCACUCGGGCAGCGUAGCGCUGCCGGAGUUGGCCUCAUCCCCGGCACCCCUAAGGCCUCUGCCCCCCCCCCACACACACACCUGACGCCUUUCCUAGACGGCCGGCCGUCUCGCCCCGAUGAGCUACUUCGAUCGAAACUGGGCUUAGUGCCCACGCAAACUAAGCUAGGCAACAAAAUAAUUAGCGGAAAAGGAAAGUGCGGGAAAAAUCACAAGUGAGUUGAUGACACACACUUUAUCACGAGGUUCACACUUUCUUAUGGAAGUGCUAACCUCUGUUGGAGCGGUGUCGAAGCCAAAGCUCCGGAAUACCACGGAAGGCUCAUCGUAUCCCCCUUGAGUCACCCACAACACGGAUCGCCUCGUUGGGGAAGGAUCUAAAGCUUUUGUUUAUUGGCGCCAUCAUCACCACUGCCGAAGCCAAGAAGAUGAACAGUCCAAACCCUCAGCUACUAAUGCCAAAAAUAAUCCACACGCGUAGAUCCGCCGACCCCCUUCACCACCGACGACCGAGGUCAUUAGCAUAGGGGAGCCAUCGGAGGACGGUUGCGGAAGGAGGCCCUCUGGUGGUGGCGGCGGAGGCUAGACCACUUUUCUUUCUUUCCUUGAAAGAAAGAAAAUGAUGCCCGACCUUCUUUCUUACUUUCCAGAUACGACUUUCCAUGGUCACAAAUGGUGUACCUAUUCUACCUCUUCAUAUGUUAUGUGUCAUUAGUUUUAUUGCUAUUCUGACUAUUUGGGUCAUUCUGAUCUCCGGACGGAGCCUACAUACAUUACAUGAUGUCUUGAAGUAUGUUAUCAUAAUGUAUAAUCAUAUUUGUUCUCAUGAAAACAAUAUAUGGCCAAUUUUAGUAUUCUAAUGUGACUGAAGAAAAUAGGAGAGGGAAAGGGAGAGGGAGGGAGUGAGGUCUCCUUUGGUUCAUAUGAUAGAAAGAUUAUAGGAAUAGGGAUUUAAUAGGAAGUGAGAUGACAUGACAUGCAUCUCAAUUCCUAUAAAGAAAGAUGUCAUUCCAUGCAUAGAAUAAGAAUUUUUUUCAUCGAAUCUAGGCUAAUGUUUUUUUUCUUCGAGAUGUGAAGAAUUGGAUCCUACUCUACAUAGGAAUAGGAGUUUAUUCCUACAAACCAAAGGGCUCCAUGAAAAUAUUUUUUUUCAAAUCAUGUCCUAUGAAAUUCCUACGAACCAAAGGAGCCCGAGAGAAGAGAGAGAUGUGCUAUUGGCAGGACAGAGCAAAAUUUAAUGGUGAAACAGUCCGAUGAUGCCACUUGAUGUGAACAAGGCGAUGUCGGACCACUAAAAUACUCCCUCCCUUCAAAAAAGUUUGUCCUAGCACCAGUUAGUGUUAGAUACAUCUAUUUAAAGAAUAAGCUUUUUCAGACGGAGAGAGUAUGUAUGCCCCGUAGCAACGGGCAAUUAACUAGUUUCAAUACAAGUUUCUGAGAUUCCAAAUAAUGAGGCCCAUGUAUUGUACUCCCUCGUCCCAUAAUAUAAGAUUAAUAUAAAAUGUUGUUUGACACUACACUAUGUCAAGAAACGUCUUACAUUAUGGGAUGAGGGAGUACUACUCCCUCCGUUCGGAAUUACUAGCCAAGAAAUGAAUGUAUCUAGAUGUAUUUUAAUUGUAGAUACAUCCAUUUUUAUUCAUUUUUGUGACAAGUAAUUCCGAACGGAGGAAGUACAUAACAAGAAAAUUCCUUCCAAGUAUCGUACAUCAUACAAACAUGAGACUGGAAAAGGAAGAACAGAGACAAAGCUGCAAACAGAAAUAUAUGAAGCCUGUGCUCCCGCUCGAGGGAUUUCACCGCCUGAACGCAUUGGCCUCGUGGGCAUCACCGCCACCCUGAGAAUAAUAGGCGCGGCGGCGGAUGCUCUCUUCGAUGGUGGCGCUGCCGCCCUUGUCAGCACCAAAUAUACUCUUCUUUUCGUCCUCCAAGAAGUUCUUCCCUCUGAACUGGUUUGCAGCCACCGUGGACGCCUCUUUGGCAUCAUCAUCUGCAGCCUUCUUGAUCCUCUUCCACCUCUGCUCUUCGUGGACCUCAGCGUCAGCCUGCAUUUGCCGCAGACGAGCUUCCCUGUCCUCUUCUGACAUAUGGUGCACGCCCCCUCGACGGCGGUUAGUUGUGGGCCCAUUGUUCCUGCCCUGCUGGCUUUCUUGUCUUCCACGGCCUUCUGAACCUAGUUCCCUGCCCUGCCGGCUCUCUUGUCUUCGUUGAUCUCCUGAACCGACUUCAGAGUGGGAGCGGUGUUCAAAAGUGGAAUUGCCAUUGUUCCGGCCAUUUCCAAUACCUCUCUGCUUCGAGUCUGAGCUGUCAUGCUUUGGAUAAGCAUGGAGGCGGUCUGACCCUGAAUUGUGUCUCCUCCUAUCCUCAGCAUCCGGCCGAUCCCGACGUGGAUGCUCAUCAUGCUUAGACAUCUCCGGCCGUCUUCUCCUUGGUUCAUCAUCUUCUGGCAUAUCCGGUCGCCUUCUCAUUGGUUCAUCAUCCUCUGGCAUAUCCCGCCGUCUUCUCCUUGGUUCAUCACCUUCUGGUGUAUCUCGCCGUCUUCUCCUUGGUUCAUCAUCUUCUGGCGUAUCCCGCCGUCUUCUCCUUGGUUCAUCAUCUUCUGGCGUAUCCUGCCGUCUUCUCCUUGGUUCAUCAUCUUGUGACAUCUCCCGCCGUCUUCUCCGUUCAGCAUCUUCUGACUUGUCUUGUCGUCCUCUUUUUGGUUGAUCAUCUUCUGAAAUCUCCUGCCUUCUUUUCCUUGGCGCAUCAUCUUCUGUAUCCGAGGAUCCUUGUCUACUUUCUUUCUUAUGACGCCUUGACCUUUUCACUUCCCUCUUGUGCUCUGGAGCAGAAGGAACUUUCUUCCUCCCUUCGUCCUUGCCAUCACUUACGUCAUCCGAAUCAGAAUUUUCAGCUGAGUGAUGCCUCUUACUCUUCGACUUAUGAUGACGAUGUUUUUUGUGCUUUCUCUUCUCUUUCUUUUCUUCCUUCUGCAUUUUUUCUGCUUCCAUCUACAGAAAUAAGAUUGUAUCAGAGAGUGUAGUUCAGAUGAAAUCAUUGGAAACCAUCAAUAGGCUGCUAUGUGUGGAUGAGUUCACAAGCUAGUUCUAAUUCAGAUGCACGGAAUCAAUUCUGAGAACUUACUGAUUUCUUUAUCUCGGCCAUCUUGAUUGGAUUAUUUUUAAUCCUUGCAAUAGCAUCCUGCUCCCGCUGCCUUAUUAGGAGUAGAGGAUCAGAGUGAAGUUUUCUCCAAGUGUCAUUAGCAGAUUGAGGCUUCUCCUCAAGUAGAGCUCCCAGUGAAGUAUCCUGAAACAUCGUGACAGAACAAAAUAAGCGCUGCAACUGCAAAAUCAAUCAAGCCGUAUAUAGUGAUGCGAUGAUAGAUGAUAGGUAUCUUCAUAAACCCUUAAAAAACAAAGUUUGUCUUUUCUAUAAACCAAACAUACCAUGGUUAUUAUCGGUUCAACUAUUAAUAAGAGAACAUAUAGUAUAAUUCAAUAUGAAACCACCAAACAGGUAUCUGAUCUCUAUUCAGAAGUAAAGAAGAAAACAUACAGUUUACAUAAGUAACAUCGAUGUUUCUUUGACAAUUGUAUGGGACAUUACGUGCAAAUCUGAAAUCCACGAAGAACAAUGGACUAGAAUCACCAGAGAGAUAAGGAACAACUGAGAUACCUUGGAAGAGCCAGCAGCCGUUGGAGCAGAAGAGGAGGCGGGAGCUGCCGCUGGGCCAGGUUGCUGCAGUGCUUGGAAUCCAUCCGAGCUCCCCUUGCCGACGCCCAACCCUGACUCGUAGAGGAAUUCCAACCUCUCCUGCCUCCUGCAAACAACGAAACCACAUACACAUAAGCAAGUGACAGCAAAAUUCCCCCAAAGGAAUUCGGAAUUUCCCAGCAGUUUGCGUGACAAAUCGAAAUGAACAGAUCCUACGAAAAGCUUAGCCCGUGGAACAGGUAACCUCUAGCAGUAAUCUUACACAAGAUCGCACAGGAAUUUACUUCAGAUCCUGCAGAUUUGGCCCUAAAUCCCAUGUGACUCGACUGCCAAAUCGAAGCAGCCUCUAAACCACCGAAUCGAAUUGAAUCUCACGAGCGCGUCAAUUAAUCUCUCCGCACCCGAAACCCUAGUUUAGCUAGCUAAAACAGCGAAUAGACUGGGACGGGAUGCGGGAUGCUUACGGCUUGAAUCCGGCCUGCUCCUGGAUGGCGCGGAACUCGGCCUUCUCCCUCUCCUCCUUGAGCUGCUUCUUGUACUCCUCGAUCUUGUGCUGCUCUUCCUUCUCCUUCUGCUCCGCCACCCACACCUUCUCCACGUUCCGGAGGCUCCCCGUGUGCCACCCCUUCUUGUUCAGAAAUUUCAUCCCCAUGGCGGGCAACCUCCUCCUCGCCCUCCCCCUCCCCCUCCUCCCUUGCCCGAGGCGCUAGACCUGGCGGCGGCGUAGCCUGCCUGCCGGCUUCUCCGCCUCUUCGCGACUUGGCCUCCUCCGCGUCGGCUUCGAAACGAAACGAGAUGGGGGAGAGAGAGAAACAGAGAUCGGGAGGUAACCAAAGCGCAAUCCGCCGCCUCAGCCACCAGCAACUACUAGACGGUAAGCAAAUAGCCCCGUUUUGCGCACGGGAAAGCGUAUUUUGUGUAGAAACGAGACCGGCCCGUUGUGCCCAACGAGAUUAUAUUAUUUGGGCCGAGCCUGCAAGUCGGGCCUAACAUCCUGUGAACAAUGUCCACAACUUCUCAAUUAAUUCUGUGGGUGUUCUAAAAAAAUGUUUUUUUGAGGAAUAUCCUAAACAAAUUGAUUUUGUGGAAUAUCCAUAAAAAUUGAUUUUGUGGAAAACUUAUACUAGUGUGAAUAGCAGCCAUCUUGAUCGAUCUUCCUCCGCGGUACUCCAGCAACUUUGAGAGCGUCAUACCCAGCCGGCACUAGGGUUUCUUCUGCCUCCUGUCGGCGCCAACGCCGGUCUGCAUCGUUUCCUGUGGCCUUAGGGCCAUGGAGGCGUGAUAGAUCCCGGCCUUUGCCGACGGUAAGGCUUCAUUUUUUGAUGCUUUUAUGAGUUUUUUUAGGGUUUGUGACCUGCUUAAAGAGACGAGGCGGUGGCGGCUCUCUGAAGAUGAAAUAAGGUUCUCCUCGCCUAGCCCCCGUCCUGAUAGUGCUUCUAGCGCCAUCAGUGGACGUGUGGAGAUUUUUCUCCGGCGGAUCUCGCGGGAUUCGGUCGGCGUUUGUCUUCAGUGGGUCCACGUGGAUCCGAUAUUUGUUCGUUUGUGUUCGUGUGUCUACAGGUUGAUCCUUGAUCUAAAUUUCUCUUCAACGACGGUGGUUUUGUCUGGUUGCGUUGGUCUUAUAGGGCUUUAGCACCAGUGCACCACGAAUUCUUGACUGUCUACUAUAAGUUUUACCAGGCCUUAGUGAGGGAGGGGCGACGACGGCGGCGCGCCUUCGGCUCGCUUCAGUGCUCGUAGCCGUCGCUAGGUGGUCUACCGAUCUGAAUGUAAUUUCUUAAUAUUUCUAGUAUCCAUUGUAUUAUCAGAAUUGAUGAUGAAUAGAUUAAAAAAAUAUCGAAAGAAAAGACACUUUGAGAGCGGGUUGCCCCUCUCGAUCGAUCUUCCUCCGCGGUACUCCAACAACUUUGAGAGUGGGUUGUCCAUAGGCUUUCAAAACCUCCAAGUCAGAUUAUUACUGUAAAUAAAGUUUGAUGUCAUGACACCAAUCAAAUCCAUCUCUUCCGCAAAAAAGAAACAUGUGUAAGACCUGACUGAAAAAAGCUAUAAAAGGUCAAAAUGAAAGCUACGAAAAAACACUGUUUUAAGGCCUUGAUUGUAUUUUCUUCACAAGAAUACCACAUAUGUCAUUCCUUCACGCAACUUCACACGUGAGUUGAACAGCCAACAAGUUUGAUACCCAAUUUUUUUUAAAAUGACAAAGUUAUACUAAAGCAGGACAAGUAGUAGUAUGGAUCUGAGUAAUUAUGUUUUUCAAUUUUACUAUUGAUGUGGAUGCGUGUGGAACUUUUUUUCCGAGAGUACGCCUAGGCAAUACCAUAGCUUUAUAGAAGAUAGAAUUAUAAGUACAAGAACACUAUCACUCGUUGUAAACAACGAGUGUAGCACGAACUUUUACUAUUCAUGUGGAUGCGUGUGGAACUUUUUUUUUUCAAGAGUACGCCUAGGCAUACUGUAGCUUUAUAGAGGGCAGAAUUAUAAGUAUAAGAACAUUAUCACUCGCUGCGAACAACAAUCGUAGCACGAACACCACACCCAGGCAAGUCCGAAGACAACCACCAACGACCAAACAAACUACAAAGCCCGCUUGUCAACCAACGCCAGACACCUCCAAAGAGAGGAGGUGGCAAGUGGAUGACGGGACUUGAUCAGCUUCGAGGAACACACUGUCCUGGACACACUGGCGACAACCAUACAUUAUGGAUGCGUGUGGAACUAUGUUUACCUUUGGUAUUUUCAUAAGAACUAUUAUGUUUAAACAUAUGACUUUAUAGCGACUAUGUAGAAAUAUCAGUGUGUUUACAUAUCAGCACCAAAUCUCUUGACAUCCUAUAUUUGAUAAGAAGCCAUUGCUUUCCCUAAAUUCCUGCCAAAUUCAAGGCUUAUGCAAAGGGCAAGAAAGUGAUAAUCUUGAGAAGAGCCGGUACAAAUUAAAGAAGCUUACACUCUUGAGGCGAAAAUUCAUAUGGCCUACUACACAUAGAGAAUUGAGUUAUUGUUCUAGGACAGCUACAACCGAACAUCCCGACAUUAAAGAGGAGGUCUUACAUGAUUUACAGAAAAGCUUCUCACAGAACAAAAACUUUCAUAUGCACAUACAAGUAAAGAAGCCCAAGCAUGGAACGCCUCCUGACAAAUACCACAAGGAAGAAGAGAAAACAAUCUUCUUAAAUGUACACACCUGCCAGCCAGCCUGAAACAA